rnacentral:lncRNA from 1 species
CGGGAAUCCAAUAAAUAACUUGAAUGUAAAUAAAAGUAAUUAAAGAACUCAGAAAUUAUGAAUUGAAGAACCUGGAGAACGAUGAAGAACGAACCAGAUGCUGCAAAAGUAUAAUGUUGAGGAAGAUCCGACAGAUCUGGCUCCUCCUCCGCUCUCCUCUUCUCUCUCCCUAUUUUCUAGAUUACAACUAGAACUAACUAGAACUAGAACUAGAAGAACUAGAACUAGAACUAGAUGAACUAGAGGUAGAUCUAGAUGAACUAGAGGUAGAACUAGAAGAACUAGAGGGAUCCUCUCUACUUGGAUGAAGAAUUGAAACCCUAGCUUUUAUUCUGUAGAAGAGGUAUGAUCUCCAGGGGCCAGGGGGUCUGGUUUUAUAGUCCGUUCAAGUGAAUCUGGGCCGUCGGAUCAAACCGACAUUGAUCGUGUGGUUUUCCUUGAAGUAUUAGGUCGGUGGAGCAUGAUCCCCGAACUUCACCCUGAUUGGUGGAAAGAGGUGGGCGGGCGCCCAGGCAAGGAGGGCGGGCGCCCUGUCCCUGUGUCCUCUCGGCCUCCGCUUCGGUCCCGUGGCUUCUGGAGUCUUCUAGAUGAUAGAAAAUUGCGCGGCACGUUAAUAUCUCUAUGUAAACCCGACGUGUGGGCCUUUCUUCCAUAAUUCCUGAUAACCCCUUGCAGAAAUAGACAAACACCAAAACUCGUGGAAUUCUGUCAGAUAAAACCCUAAGUCUAGGUGUUGGUUGCAUUUGGAUCCUUUUCUAUGAUUAAUUGAUAGUUAAUUGUGAGCAUUAAGGACCGUCAACAAUCUCAUAAUGCAACUUGAAGCAGCUUCCUUGCAGAUGUGAGGCCUCUUGCACUUAGCUAAUGGAUUUGAUGCUUUUAUCUCAAAGAGCUAUAGGCAGUAUUAAAUUACCUAUGUGUUUAAUACAAUAAAAUUAAUUUAUAUUGUCAAAAUAAUGAAAUAAAUCUAAUACUAGUUUGAAUUUUCUGAGAUAGGAGAAUUACUUUUAGAGACUGCUAGAUAAUUAAUUUAAGAACUUGAUCCUUGCUGGUUAUAUGUUGAUUAUAUGAUCCCUGCUUACAAGGGUUAGCUUGGAAGAACUUAAGCAAUAAAAUGGCAACAAAGUUUUAACAGCUAACUUGGGAUGCUUCCAGUGAGUUCUAUAUAAGUUCAAUAAAAUUAAUGAUACAAGCAGGAUAUAUUCUACUCCUAUGCAUUACUAAAAUGACAAAUAAGGUUAGUAAGACACAAGGUUCUGCAUAUGAUUUUCAUACCACUGUGGCCAUUGUAGGUGCGGUGAGGUCAGCAUUUUUGCCAGUCGCAUCCUGCACACUACCAGCAAGCAAAAGGUCAUCAUUAGACUCCCUUUACAAAAUCAGAGGCUAUGGCAUCUACUAUUUUGAAAAUUCACCAUUUUAGUGUAAGUAUUCCAUGAUGUCAAUGUAAUUGAAGGUACCCAGACAUUAUAUCAAUUAAAUUUUGGCAUAACUGCUUUGAAUUAUCUGAUUCCUAGGAUGGAGAAAAUUAUCUGAUUCUUUUAAGGGUUAAUUAAACUGAUUCCUACCUAUCUGCUUUGAAUUCUAACAAUGAUAGCCAAGUUCCUUUUCCCCUCCUUUUCUGAAAGGAAAACAUUGGAUGGCAACACUCACAAAUCACAGAAGACUCAGAUCGUAUGAUAAUUAAAUAUCUUUGUGCUCACCAAAAUUUUAAGUUUCAAUAAAGCAGUAAUAUGUGAAAUAGAAACACAAAUUUAUCAUAACAAUGUCUAAAACUGCAAGAGCAAACAGAGCACUCUUACUGUGCUGCAGAACAAGCAACAGUUAGAAAAAAUAGAGAGGCACACUCUUUGGUUUGAAACUUAACUAAGCCUACUUACAUAUGAUGAAUAUUUCUGUCAACUCAGAUAGAGAUGUUAAGUAACUACAAAAGAUUCCAUGUAAUGUACUGGUUAGCCUCUCCCAAUCCCUAUUCAGUAAGUACAUGAACAUGAUCUUUGUCAAUUUUCCAUGUCAUGUAAUCUACUCAUUUGCAGACUCAGUUAUUUAUAGGCUUCCAUCCCCCGAUUGUUGUUUUUGGCAACUUCUGUACAAGUAGCAAGCAGAAUUGAAGAGAUCUCUAAGGAGAUCCCCCAUAAUACUUGGAUAUGUUACCGCAGUGAAACUAUGGUUUAAAUAUGCUCACAUCACUGAGAACUCCUGUGAAAAAUACCUCAUUAUGUGCAGUGCUAUUCCAGCUUUAAGUUUUCCCCUCUGAAUUUCGGCCUCAUUAAGUCUGCAGUAUGCUGGAUCUCUCUCAAACUCUGAAACUGCGUCACCCAACUUAUUCAAAAUUAUAUUCAAGUGAGUAAUGGACAAUGGCGGUAUCACAAAAUAAGUAGAUGUAAUUUUACGAUAACCUUUCUAGUACUAAGCAUAACAGCACUACAUGAGCGACUGAUAGUGAUACUGCAGUAAAAAAGAAAACUUUAGUCAUAUGCAGCAUAAAUGAGUACGCAAUGUAUGAAUUAGUGGUGUAACAGCCAUUUAUUCGAACAUCUGCAAACAGUCAAGAAAACGGCUCCAGCCGCCAACUCUGCUCGAUUUUUCACUGCUCCCUACCAUGCCACCACAACUCACUAGACGCACAAACUGUGCAGAGUGGACAGAUGAGCAACAAGGAAGAAGACCCUCACGGUUCUGAUCAACGAAAGAAAUGGACGGAUGGAGCAACGAGGGCUAGAGGACAGGGCGGGCAGAAGGUGAGCAACUCACUGAGUCACGGAUCUCAUCCUUGACGAUGUAGAAGGGGGGGCCAUAGGGAGGCUCACAAGCCGCCGGCCCGGAGCAGGAGGUUCAGAUCCGAGGACGGCCACUGCUCGGGAGGCUCGCAAGCCGUCGGCGGGAAGCGGGGCGGCCGCGCGCAGGCCGGCGGGGCUCCGGCGAGCCGUGGUCGUGGGCGAGGCGGCUGGGUUCCGGGGGCGUGAGCCGAGGUCGGGGCUAGGGCGGACAGGCUCCGGGGGUGCCAGCCGCGGUGCGGGCGGGGCUCCGGAGUAAACAUGGCAAUUUUUAUCCCAAACCCGAAAUCCGAUGGGUAAUUACCUCAUUAUGGUAAGGGUAUGGCUAUUUUUUUUUACCUAUGGCUAAGAUAAUGGGAAAAAAAGCUUUACCCAGCGGGUAAGGGUAUGAGACUGCAUUGCCCAUUCCCGUUAACCAAUGGGUAAAUUGAAUCCGAUAAAUUAUACUACAAUCAUAAAACUUGUGGAUUUUAUGACUUAUUAUCUAGUAAUAAUGGAUUUAUCCAUUAGAUCAUUUAACUGUGUGUUCAUGUAGUUUGUAUAUUUGAAGAGUUUAUUAAUGAUUUAUGAUAUUUUGGCUAAAUUUGGGAGUCUGAUAUAUUAAAACAUGUAUUUUUCUAGCAAAUAUUUUUAAAAUAAUGUGUAAAGAUAACCCAUGGGUUAUCCGUUACCCGCAUGGGUAAAGGUAUGGGAAAAAAACUGUUACCCAUACUCGGGUAUGGGUAAAUUAGCGGAUAAAAUAUUUUCUCGUGGAUAAAAGUAACACAUACCCGACCGCUAGUAAUUACCCAUUGCCAUCCAUACUCCGGAGGGGUGCAAGCCGUAGUCGGGGGCUGGGUGGCCGGGGGCAGCGUCAGCGGCAUCCAGUGGAGACGCUGGGGUCAGCGUCACUUUUGGAUGGCGGAUUGCAGGCAGUGCUUCUGUCACACCCUGGCUUUUAAAAUAAGACCAGAGUCGUCAUAUGUGUGCCCAGGAAGUCCACACAUACAACAAAGAAUAAAAAUAUCAGAAAAAAUGUUAUAUAUAGCGGAAAACGUAUUUAUAACAACACUUACAAACAUCAGAGUACGCGGAAACAGUAGCUAAAACUUCUUAGGCUCCAUUCUUCUCAGGGACGGUUGACUGGGGCUCCGUACGCCAAGCACUUCUGAUAUACUUCUAGAAUACUCCAUAAUAUCUCUAUCCUUCUUCUGAGCAGCACUUUACUACACACUGGGGGUGUGGGGGGAAAUAGCAAGGGUGAGUUCAUGUCGAACUCAACAAGUACAGGCGGAAAAUAUAAUGACAUGCAUGGCUUAAUCAAAGGAAAAGCUGACACUGUUUAACUGCAGGUGAGCUUUUAAGUUGGUAUAUUUUUAUUACAAUUCUUUUAUUAAAACAAUCUAUUAUUAAAUAUGAGUGAAGCAUCCCAACCCUUAAUUAGAUGAAAGUAUAUUAACAAUAUUAUUACUCAUCAUUAUAAUAAUAAUUAUUAUUAAGAUUACCGAGGUAGCAACCUCAGAUAGUAACUCAGGGUAGCAACCCCAAUAAGGUCAUGGAAUAGCAAUCCCAAUUAAGAACACAGGAUAGCAAUCCUGCCAACACGGAAUAGCCAUUCCGCCAAAGCACGAGGUAUCAACCUCAACCAAGUUUCGCCUCCAAGUUCCAGUGAAUCCAAUUUGCUCAUCAAGUGAGGGUCUGGGCCGCUCGUGACCGUGAGCACGGCUGAUAUAUCAGUUUUACACUCUGCAGAGGUGUGCACGUUCACUCCAAGUCGUGAUUCCCAUUUGCCCGGGGUCGCGACUCCCCAAAACACUUCCAAGGUGAGCAGGCAGGGUCUCACUACGAGACUUUUCACAGGGUCCAACUAAUAGGAUGCCACUCGCAAGUUUUCGCCGGGGCGCUCGACAGUCGAUACCCAUAGCCAUGGCGUACCAAGCAGCCGCUAACUUAAUAUUCAUUACCCAAGUUACUUCCUCACGCCUACCCGGAAAGUAACACCCUACUAGUGGAGGUCCUGCUAAUUAGUCAAGCCAGAGCCCAUAUAGCUUGGAGCUGCACUGUAAGUCCCAGGGGGCCGCUCCCUGACUAAGUCCUUACGGAGAGCAGAGACGGGUACGCCCGGCAAACCGGACCACCAACAGUACCCGCUCCCCCUGUCCUCAACCAAACCACGAUGCUCGCAAGCACCGCAACAUCUCCAUCACCGAAGUGACCAUUGUUCAUCAUUUAAUCAUUUAUCAUCAUUGAAGAAUUUAUUAAGCAAGAUCAUUAUUUUUAUUAUUAUAUAGAUUAGAUGAGUAGAGCAACUAAGCAUAUCUACUGUUCACUAUACUACCCAUGUAUAAACCCAGGUAUACAAGGAAUAUAGUAGAAGACUAGUCAUGUCCUUAGGGUUUGCAGUAUUAAGACACAUGCAAUGGAAAGUAAAUGUAUUUAAAGUUCAUAGGUACAAUAUGACCAAAGGGUGUCUGCACUUGCCUUAAUUCCCAGUGUAUAUCUGCUCAGAAUUCUUUAGCUUCUUUCCUUCUGCUUCGACUGUCGGGCCUCAGCUCCUGGUCUUCACUGUUGACGAACCACACUUCUUCUACGCGUAGCAACCAAGCAACACACAUAGACAAACAAACAACAAUCACGACUAAGAACAAGCAUCAAUCAAAAGUAAAGCUCUGAAAAGUAGAGCGCACUAAACGACAAGGCUUGAGGCUACGAUCGUGACAACACAAGAACGAUUGAGAACGGAGCUAUCGUUAAUCGAACACGACUUUUGAGGUUCGUAGUGUAACGGAGAAGACGACUAUACGCUGGUCGUAUUUUAUUUAAUAAAUAACUAUAUAACACUGAAGCCAAUAAAGCAUUUAUAGUUUUUGAAAUAUAGCAUAUAUGAAAGCAACUAAUCAAGUGAUUAUAUAUCAUGUUUAAACUAAUCAAGUUAUAAUUAAUAAAGAAACAUUAAGGUUGAUAUUAAUAACGUGGGCAUUUAUUUAUUUACAAAAAGAUCAAAAUUAUAAACUUUAUUUACUUUUAAAUCAAAAAAACUCUAGAUAAAUAUUACUAAAUUAUUUAUUUGCUUCAUGUUUAACUAACCAAAUUAUAAUUAAGAAGUAUUUGAGUUCACCUUUGAUUAUAAAUACCAAAGUGUAAAUCUAAUGUGUUUUAAAAUUAAGUAAAUAGGAAUGCAUUCCAAACAUUAAUCGGAUUAAUUAUACUCAUGAACAUGAGACAAUAAAUAUAGCACCGCUAAUAUGUAUACUACAUCGACAUAGUCACAAUGCAACGAGGACCGAAUUACAACCCUAGAUUGUUCCUAAUUUAAAAGCUAUUUAAUAAAUAUUAAUCAAAUUAUAUUUAAAUCAAUAAAUUCAGAAAUAAGUUACAUGAUAAAUAUUUAUACUACUACGUAAAGCGCGGCGAUAUGAAACUAACGCGACAAGAACGGGCGCAAACGGAAUUAAAACGCGGAUUCUAUGGCCAAAACUAUGUCAGUGGCAAAACUGUGGAUUAUCAUAACUAUUUUUCGUAAUUUAAAUAAUUAAAACAGAAUUAAAAAGUGAUUUGGAUUAAAUCUGCAAAAACCGACGGCUGCAGGGGCUAUUCUGCAAAAACCAGGGGCAUAUUUCUAUUUACUUUAAACUGAGCAGGACUGCGGGUUAAUUUUAAAUAAACCCGAGGGCUUAUUUGCAAAAGGGUAAGGGGGCGCGCGGGGCCGUGGCCAGCCUGGCCACGUGGCAGCGGGCGGUUGGCGGGUCCACGGUGGACCGGGCCGAGCGGGGCGCGCACACGGGCAGCGGGGGCGGGCGGCCGGCCGCGGCGGUGCGCCAGGGCCGCGGCUCGGAGCUUCGCCGGGACGGCGAGCCGGGGCAUGGGGAGGCAAGCCGAGGGCGGUGGCGGGUUGCGGGCGGUACGGCGGAGCCGAUGCGCGCGCGGGCCGCACGGAUAGAGGGCCGAAGCGCGCGGAGCUCGCGGUGGCGCGGCUCGCCGGCGACGCGGAACUCCGGCGAGCGCGGGCGCGGGGAAAGAGAGGGAGAAAGAGCGCGCCGAGGGUAUCUCCAUGCUCGUGGCGACCUAGCGAACUCGGGGAGGCACUCACCUUGGCGAAAGAACGACGGCAUGGAGGUGUUUCGCGGCGGCCGAAGGGAUCUCGGCGAGACCGAGCUCGAGCAGGGACUAUGUGAUGCGGUUUGAGGCGGCUAGGGUUCCUAGGGAGGCGUGCGGCGGCUGCAGGGCGCCCUUAAAUAGGUGAAGGCGAUCCUCGGUUUGCGCGCGCGCAGAAAUCGUGGCGGCGGCGCCGUCCGCGUCCGAGUCGGGCGGGAGGUUAGGGGUGACCUCCCCCUGACAGGUGGGGCCCGGAUGUCAGCGACUCGGAGCGAGCUGGCAGGCGGGGCCCACGUGGCAGUGGCACGGGCACUAGGCGAGCUGGCGCAGCUGCUGCUGGGCUGCUGCACGGCUGGGCCGAGGCCCAAGGGGCGCGUGCGCGUGGGCUCGAAGAGCAGCCAGGCCGGGGCUGGGCCACAAGCACAAGUAGGCCAAAAACGAGGAGGGAAAAAUGAGGAAGAAAAUAACUUCUCUUUUUGCCAAAAUAGAAAUUCUAAACUAAUUUGCCAACCAAUUUCCAAACUAUUUUCAAACCAUAUUUCAAAAUAAAUUUGAUUCAACAUUUAGGGAUUAUUUUGGAAUUUUUUUUAGACUAUUUUGAAAUCUAAAUAUAUUUCAGUUUAAACACAUUUCUAAAUUGUUUUCCAACUCGAAUUUGAAUUAGUUUUCAAAUAGGACUUUUGGAGUUUUAUUUUUCCGAAAACCGAAAGGACCUAAACGUGGCUCGCUAGAAAUUUUGAAAAUUCAUUUUUCUGAGACAAGCCAAACAAAACUAGGGCACAAAACACACAUCAAAUAAAACACCCUCCACUUAGUUUAAUAAAAGUUUUAAAACUCCACAUUUUUUCUCAUUUUAUAAAAACAAUAAUUAAUAAAUUCUUGGAAUAUUUUAGAAAAAAUUUAAAUCCUUAUUUAAUUUAGUAUUUUCUAAUAACAAUCCAAAAUUAAAUUUUUUUUGGAGUGUUACAGAUCUACCCCACUUAACAAAAAUCUCGUCCCGAGAUUUGAAGAAACUAGAGAGAAAGAUAAAGUAGAUCAUCAAAGUUGCUUCGAGACUUUCAAGACGUGAUCAAAGGAUUAGAGAUAGACUUAGGGUAAAAAGUAUGAUAAAAGAUGACAAGGAAAGAAAAAAAAAUAAACGUAUGAGAUAAGAAUUGAAACGUAUGAGAUAAGAAUUAAUCUUUGGACCUUGUAUUAGGAUAAGGUUCAAGGGUGAGAAGCCAAUAUGAACAGGAGAUGAUACAUAGGAGAUAAAGAUAGAUAUUAUAGUACUCACAAUUUCCUCGAUUCCGGAUAUAUAUAUGAUAGUAGAUGAAAGAAUAAAGAAUGAUGAAAAGUUGACAAAGACUUAGAAUUUUUUUUUGUCUUCACGCUUUAUCAUUUGUAGUCCUUUGAGACGUAAGAUCCAAGAUUUACACGUUGACAAAAUUGAUAAGGGCUCAUCGCAAGAAUGAUAAAGAUCAAUAUAUAGUUCUCCAUGUCUUUCUGAUUAGAGAUUUUCGAGAGUGAUGAUCGUACGAAUGCUACCCCACUUAAACCAAGUGUUAGCUUAUCUUUCAAAAUCCUGUAUAAGAACACUCAUCUUGUCGGUAGAUAAUCUUCAAAGUUUUCCUUGGGAGGUUACUAGUUCGACAACACGCUGCAUAGAUGGAGAUUCCGAGGAACAGGGAGAGAAUCAACACAAUGAUUGGAAAGGAUAGAUUAAGAUGUUCUUAAUUUUCUUAGUGCUGGUGUGAGACAUAAGUCAGAAGACAAGAAGUUUGUCCAGGUGAAAGUUCUUGAACACUUCCCAGCAAAACAAACCAAGGGGUCGGUGAAAUUGACCAUAUAUCGGUAUGAUUUUACAUCUAACUUUCAGGUUCUGCAUUUUGUCACGUGAUAGUCCAGCAUAUAUUCCACGGUGAAAAAGAAGUCUUAUCUUAGGACCUCGGUUUCCUGUUGCCUUGCUUUGAUAGGUCAACAGGCAUGACAUUUUCUAGGUCACUCAGUGCUUCUUUGUGGUCUCCAUAGAUGGAUUCUAAGCAGACAUGACCUACUACUUGUAGUGUCGGGAGAAUGUUGCAAGAGAGAACUACACAAAUGAUGUCGACUCAUUUUGUAUGAAGAAUUUAAGAUCGCUUCACAGGUAAGCACUACAAGUUGAUGUUGGGAUAGCACGAUGUGCUUCGUCCAAGGUUCCAUCAGUUACCAUAAAUAGACUGAACAUCUGGUCAAACAACUCAUAACCCAUAUUGGAAGCUUAAGAAUGAUAAGGUCCAAUGAACAAGACAUCUCAUUUUACAAAGAAGAUUACAAGUGACUUGAAUACCAAAUCUUUAUAAGCUAAUAGACACAACUGACUUCAGAUUUCAUAGACCAUCAUUGACUAGCUCAAAUCUAUCUAGGUCCCUUAAUAUAACUUGCUUCACAUCAGAUGUUGAGAAUAUAUCACCUCUGUAUAAGGUCCACAUCUCUUUCAAACUGCCUCGUUGUCGGUACAAUCCUUCCAUUAGUGCUUUAAUCCUUCGGGUGAGGUUGAAUACCUUCAUACAUAAACCUAUCUCCUGAUGGGGUGGUUAGAGAUACUGAGUGUUGGGUACAGUCAAUCUUUCCAUGACAAGCGGUUAACCAUCCUCUUCCAAGAACGACAUCAAUCUCCAUUGAUUCCAAAACUACAAGAUUCACCUCAAAAUUUACACCUUUUAUACCGAGACUGACUUUUGGGCACAUGUGUGUUGCUUUUAUCUUCCCUCUUGGUGAUUUGACUAGUACGGGUUUCUUCAUUUCCAACAGAAGCAUCUUAUGAUUAGCAACACGUUUAUUUGAGAUGAAAGAAUGUGAAGAACUUGAGUCAAACAAAACAGUGGCAGGAGUUGAAUUGACUAGAAUUGAUCCAAACACCACAUUUUGUGCUUCACGAGCAGUACACAGAUCCACAUGGUUCAAUCUACCAUUAACAUAGUCACGAACUGGGUACUUCUUUGGACAAUGUUUCUUGUGAUGUCCCUCUUCGUGACACUGGUAACAAGCAUUGCUAACCAUUUUACCAUAGGUGUUAUCCUGACAUUGAGCUCCUUGAAUUGAUGUGCCAGGAGUAAUUGAAGUGCUACUAACUUGUUGGUUCUGAGGGUUCACCUUCAAUGGAGUCUCUUCACUAUUUCGCUUCUUAGCUUGAUUACUCUUUCGAGGCUGAUAUUCUGUAUAGGUGAUGGUCCAUCCAUCUAGGCAUACCUCUGGCAUAGCAAGUGUAGCUGAAGGGGCAUCUAAUUCUUCAAGGUAUGAAUGUGUCUGAUGAGAGUUUGGAGCUAAAUCUAACUGCAAUGUAGAACUCAGAUUUGGCUCAACACUUAACAGUGGCUCUAGGGAGAUUGCCUUCCUUUUCUUGUUACCUUCAGUUUGUUGAUCCUGGGGUACUUCAAUCUUUCCUUCACUUGGCUUGUUCUGGAGACAAGGUAAACCAUAGUAUCUGCAGCAGUUACACGGCUCUUGAAUCCCAAGUGCCUCAUUAAUACCAUCUUUCUUGGCUUUCAUGUUCUUCCAGGCAUCUAUGACUUGUCGCUUCAUUGCUUCUUUCUGAGUUUCAGUCAUGUUCUUUUCUAAAUAUAACUGAGAAUCUUUUGGUGGUCCCACUCCACUUAGUACUUGAUCCUGCAUAGACAAGGGCUUCUCCUUGUUUACUAGGGACAAGGGUAGCAUAGUUGGGUCUUCCUGACAUUUGGUGUAAGCUUCUUCAAUAUCGCCUUGGAGAAGUAAAGAUUGUAGUAUCAAAAGCUUCUGGAGUCUAGCCAUAUGAUCAGCUGCCAUCUCUAGGAUUUGGGAUUGCCAAGCUAUCAUCUCUUCACUGCUCAAUUGUGUUGCAGAAGUCAUUGGUUGACUCGGAUCACCAAUAUUCUUUUCCAUUGAUGUCACCACUUGGAUCAAUCAUCUGACAUUAGGCAAUAGUAGAAUGAGUUAGAGUAAUAUAGGCAAAGAGUAUGACAUAGGGUAGGAGAGAAUAGCUGGACAGGAUUAAGAUUGACAAAAGAUAUGGAUAGGAUAAGAGAGAUCACUACCCCACUUAACAGAGAUCGAACUAAUCCCCAAACGAUUUCUUCCAGAACUCCUCAAAACACUAGAACAGAGACAACACACAAAACAUCAAACCAAACAAAACAAGCACGCAACACAUCAACGAUACUACACGUGCUUCUUCAACAGUGGUGGUCAUCCUAAAAAGGUAAGUUCGAGAUGAUGAAGGGCCAUCGAAUUUUGGAAUAAAAUAAGUUUUGAAAACUUAAGUAAAACAACUAAACAAAAGCCAAGGAGAUUAAUAGAAAUAGCUCAAAGGAAGCUAUUCAAGGAGGGGAUACAACAUGACAAGGAUGAAGAAAUAGUCAAAAUCAAAUAGUCAAGAGAUGAGAAAAUAGUUUUAUAUUAAAAUAAGCUUUAGAAAUCGACCAGUGCUAUCUAGGCAUACGUCCUACAGUCGACAUUGCUCUGAUACCAUUCCUGUCACACCCUGGCUUUUAAAAUAAGACCAGAGUCGUCAUAUAUGUGCCCAGGAAGUCCACACAUACAACAAAGAAUAGAAAUAUCAGAAACAAUGUUAUAUAUAGUGGAAAACGUAUUUAUAACAACACUUACAAACAUCAGAGUACGCGGAAACAGUAGCUAAAACUUCUUAGGCUCCAUUCUUCUCAGGGACGGUUGACUGGGGGCUCCGUACGCCAAGCACUUCUGAUAUACUUCUAGAAUACUCCAUAAUAUCUCUAUCCUUCUUCUGAGCAGCACUUUACUACACACUGGGGUGUGGGGGGAAAUAGCAAGGGUGAGUUCAUGUCGAACUCAACAAGUACAGGCGGAAAAUAUAAUGACAUGCAUGGCUUAAUCAAAGGAAAAGCUGACACUGUUUAACUGCAGGUGAGCUUUUAAGUUGGCAUAUUUUUAUUACAAUUCUUUUAUUAAAACAACCUAUUAUUAAAUAUGAGUGAAGCAUCCCAACCCUUAAUUAGAUGAAAGUAUAUUAACAAUAUUAUUACUCAUCAUUAUAAUAAUAAUUAUUAUUAAGAUUACCGAGGUAGCAACCUCAGAUAGUAACUCAGGGUAGCAACCCCAAUAAGCUCAUGGAAUAGCAAUCCCAAUUAAGAACACAGGAUAGCAAUCCUGCCAACACGGAAUAGCCAUUCUGCCAAAGCACGAGGUAGCAACCUCAACCAAGUUUCGCCUCCAAGUUCCAGUGAAUCCAAUUUGCUCAUCAAGUGAGGGUCUGGGCCGCUCGUGACCGUGAGCACGGCUGAUAUAUCAGUUUUACACUCUGCAGAGGUGUGCACGUUCACUCCAAGUCGUGAUUCCCAUUUGCCCGGGGUCGCGACUCCCCAAAACACUUCCAAGGUGAGCAGGCAGGGUCUCACUACGAGACUUUUCACAGGGUCCAACUAAUAGGAUGCCACUCGCAAGUUUUCGCCGGGGCGCUCGACAGUCGAUACCCAUAGCCAUGGCGUACCGAGCAGCCGCUAACUUAAUAUUCAUUACCCAAGUUACUUCCUCACGCCUACCCGGAAAGUAACACCCUACUAGUGGAGGUCCUGCUAAUUAGUCAAGCCAGAGCCCAUAUAGCUUGGAGCUGCACUGUAAGUCCCAGGGGGCCGCUCCCUGACUAAGUCCUUACGGAGAGCAGAGACGGGUACGCCCGGCAAACCGGACCACCAACAGUACCCGCUCCCUCUGUCCUCAACCAAACCACGAUGCUCGCAAGCACCGCAACAUCUCCAUCACCGAAGUGACCAUUGUUCAUCAUUUAAUCAUUUAUCAUCAUUGAAGAAUUUAUUAAGCAAGAUCAUUAUUUUUAUUAUUAUAUAGAUUAGAUGAGUAGAGCAACUAAGCAUAUCUACUGUUCACUAUACUACCCAUGUAUAAACCCAGGUAUACAAGGAAUAUAGUAGAAGACUAGUCAUGUCCUUAGGGUUUGCAGUAUUAAGACACAUGCAAUGGAAAGUAAAUGUAUUUCAAGUUCAUAGGUACAAUAUGAUCAAAGGGUGUCUGCACUUGCCUUAAUUCCCAGUGUAUAUCUGCUCGGAAUUCUUUAGCUUCUUUCCUUCUGCUUCGACUGUCGGGCCUCAGCUCCUGGUCUUCACCGUUGACGAACCACACUUCUUCUACGCGUAGCAACCAAGCAACACACAUAGACAAACAAACAACAAUCACGACUAAGAACAAGCAUCAAUCAAAAGUAAAGCUCUGAAAAGUAGAGCGCACUAAACGACAAGGCUUGAGGCUACGAUCGUGACAACACAAGAACGAUUGAGAACGGAGCUAUCGUUAAUCGAACACGACUUUUGAGGUUCGUAGUGUAACGGAGAAGGCGACUAUACGCUGGUCGUAUUUUAUUUAAUAAAUAACUAUAUAACACUGAAGCCAAUAAAGCAUUUAUAGUUUUUGAAAUAUAGCAUAUAUGAAAGCAACUAAUCAAGUGAUUAUAUAUCAUGUUUAAACUAAUCAAGUUAUAAUUAAUAAAGAAACAUUAAGGUUGAUAUUAAUAACGUGGGCAUUUAUUUAUUUACAAAAAGAUCAAAAUUAUAAACUUUAUUUACUUUUAAAUCAAAAAAACUCUAGAUAAAUAUUACUAAAUUAUUUAUUUGCUUCAUGUUUAACUAACCAAAUUAUAAUUAAGAAGUAUUUGAGUUCACAUUUGAUUAUAAAUACCAAAGUGUAAAUCUAAUGUGUUUUAAAAUUAAGUAAAUAGGAAUGCAUUCCAAACAUUAAUCGGAUUAAUUAUACUCAUGAACAUGAGACAAUAAAUAUAGCACCGCUAAUAUGUAUACUACAUCGACAUAGUCACAAUGCAACGAGGACCGAAUUACAACCCUAGAUUGUUCCUAAUUUAAAAGCUAUUUAAUAAAUAUUAAUCAAAUUAUAUUUAAAUCAAUAAAUUCAGAAAUAAGUUACAUGAUAAAUAUUUAUACUACUACGUAAAGCGCGGCGAUAUGAAACUAACGCGACAAGAACGGGCGCAAACGGAAUUAAAACGCGGAUUCUAUGGCCAAAACUAUGUCAGUGGCAAAACUGUGGAUUAUCAUAACUAUUUUUCGUAAUUUAAAUAAUUAAAACAAAAUUAAAAAGUGAUUUGGAUUAAAUCUGCAAAAACCGACGGCUGCAGGGGCUACUCUGCAAAAACCAGGGGCAUAUUUCUAUUUACUUUAAACUGAGCAGGACUGCGGGUUAAUUUUAAAUAAACCCGAGGGCUUAUUUGCAAAAGGGUAAGGGGGCGCGCGGGGCCGUGGCCAGCCUGGCCACGUGGCAGCGGGCGGUUGGCGGGUCCACGGUGGACCGGGUGCGGCGCGGGGUGCACCGGUCCACGGUGGACCGGGCCGAGCGGGGCGCGCACACGGGCAGCGGGGGCGGGCGGCCGGCCGCGGUGGUGCGCCAUGGCCGCGGCUCGGAGCUUCGCCGGGACGGCGAGCCGGGGCAUGGGGAGGCAAGCCGAGGGCGGUGGCGGGUUGCGGGCGGUACGGCGGAGCCGAUGGGCGCGCGGGCCGCACGGAUAGAGGGCCGAAGCGCGCGGAGCUCGCGGUGGCGCGGCUCGCCGGCGACGCGGAACUCCGGCGAGCGCGGGCGCGGGGAAAGAGAGGGAGAAAGAGCGCGCCGAGGGUAUCUCCAUGCUCGUGGCGACCUAGCGAACUCGGGGAGGCACUCACCUUGGCGAAAGAACGACGGCACGGAGGUGUUUCGCGGCGGCCGAAGGGAUCUCGGCGAGACCGAGCUCGAGCAGGGACUAUGUGAUGCGGUUUGAGGCGGCUAGGGUUCCUAGGGAGGCGUGCGGCGGCUGCAGGGCGCCCUUAAAUAGGUGAAGGCGAUCCUCGGUUUGCGCGCGCGCAGAAAUCGUGGCGGCGGCGUCGUCCGCGUCCGAGUCGGGCGGGAGGUUAGGGGUGACCUUCCCCUGACAGGUGGGGCCCGGAUGUCAGCGACUCGGAGCGGGCUGGCAGGCGGGGCCCACGUGGCAGUGGCACGGGCGCUAGGCGAGCUGGCGCAGCUGCUGCUGGGCUGCUGCACGGCUGGGCCGAGGCCCAAGGGGGCGCGUGCGCGUGGGCUCGAAGAGCAGCCAGGCCGGGGCUGGGCCACAAGCACAAGUAGGCCAAAAACGAGGAGGGAAAAAUGAGGAAGAAAAUAACUUCUCUUUUUGCCAAAAUAGAAAUUCUAAACUAAUUUGCCAACCAAUUUUCAAACUAUUUUCAAACCAUAUUUCAAAAUAAAUUUGAUUCAAUAUUUAGGGAUUAUUUUGGAAUUUUUUUAGACUAUUUUGAAAUCUAAAUAUAUUUCAGUUUAAACACAUUUCUAAAUUGUUUUCCAACUCGAAUUUGAAUUAGUUUUCAAAUAGGACUUUUGGAGUGUUAUUUUUCCGAAAACCGAAAGGACCUAAACGUGGCUCGCUAGAAAUUUUGAAAAUUUAUUUUUCUGAGACAAGCCAAACAAAACUAGGGCACAAAACACACAUCAAAUAAAACACCCUCCACUUAAUUUAAUAAAAGUUUUAAAACUCCACAUUUUUUCUCAUUUUAUAAAAACAAUAAUUAAUAAAUUCUUGGAAUAUUUUAGAAAAAAUUUAAAUCCUUAUUUAAUUUAGUAUUUUCUAAUAACAAUCCAAAAUUAAAAUUUUUUUGGAGUGUUAUAGCUUCCCAUAUACACAAAGCGUUUUCUUUUUUCUCAUUUGUUUAUUUGUUUUGAAAACUAUGUUAUCAAAUUUGUUCUAAUUAAUUAUCUUUUAAAAUAAUAUAUUAAAUGGACUCUAUAAUUUAUAUUCAAAACUUUUAUAAAUAUUUGGCCAUUAUUUUAUAUAGUUUUAAUUCUAUUUAUCAGAAUUAUAAAGUUCUAUAAUUGUGGUUAAGAAUCUGAUAUUAGAAAACGACUUAGAAAAAUUAUCAAAAAUUCACAAGAAAUAAUCUCUGUUGUCUAUUCACUAUACAAAAAGUUUUAAGUAAAACUCCAACUCGACACUCAAUUUGACAUCGGAUCUUAAUGGAUCCUAGCUACUCAACUAUUUGAAACUUCUUCAGAGAUGUUCAGAUUUGUAAGCAUUGUAUGUGACAACUUUCGUGAAUUCUUCUCAAAUUUUUAUCAUAGCCUCUACAUAUGACGUCAUGACAUUUUGAGAAAUCUCAUGUUUUUCAGAGUUCGUUUGGUUUUUAUAGAAUUUAAAAAUGACUAGGCCACAACAUCUUGCUCAUGCUUCAUGAGCAAGAUGUUUGAAUUUUGAUAUAACUUACUGCAUUUGAACUUUAUUCGAUUUAAAAAACAUGAAUAUUAUUUUUCCAUUCUUUUUUUUUAAAUUAUUCGAACCACCUACUGUUCAAAUUUGAGUUAUCUCUGAAAAUUCAAUUAAAUGAGGUAAAUUAACUAAAUAUAGAAGAAAGAUUGAGAAUGGUAUAAAACUUUCACAUGGAGUUAUGGUUACGUAAUGAUGUUAGCAGAAAAAGUUUAGAGGCUAGAAGUAAAAAAACAAAAAACAUUUGUUGAGUGUCCAAGCAAAACACUACAAAAUGGUAACUUUGCCUAGUGCCAGUAUAAAACGCUAGGCAAACUAUUAACUUUGCCUAGUGUACUUUGCCGAGUGUCUAACUUUGCCUAGUGUUGGACACUAGGCAAACUGUUGGUUUGCUGAGUGUUUGGUGCCUAGCACUAGGCAAACCACUGAUUUGCCGAGUGUCAUGGUUUGCCUAGUGUCCGGCACUAGGGAAACCACCAAUUUGUCAUGUGCUAUCCUCUGCUGAGGGCUACACUCGGCAAAUCACUUUUUUACCGAGUGCCUAAUAAAUAACACUAGGCCAAGCGUGCGACACUCGACAAAGAACGUAUCCGGUAGUGCAAUGAUGUCAUUCCCAUUGCUGUCAGUCUAAUGAAUAUAAAUUAGAUAUCAUCGCUGAUCUACCAUGAUCCAGUGGCAAUUAAUUACACAUCACACAUCACUGUCAGUCUGGCAUAUGAUCUGGCGGUGAUGAAGUAGCAGUGCCGGCCCUAGGGGUAGGCUAUCAGAUGCGACGCUCGAGGGCUUAGACAGGAGAGGGGCCCAACCCCAAGUAUACAAAACCCAGGUCUAUAGUCCAUUAAGCAUUAGCAAACUAAUGAGAAGAGAGAGAACUGAUCAACCAGCUCAAGAAGACAACAUCGGUCUUUCUUUCCUAGUUUUCUUUUUCUCCCGAUCUUCAGUAUAGAAGGAGACGACAGGCGAGGAGCCACGCCGCACUCUAACUGUGACUAGCGAGUUUGUGACGUGCCGACGCACACACGCGCGACCGAGCCAUGCUGCCACAGAGAGUUGGACACCAAGGAACAGUGCACGACAGCGGUGGCCAUGGAGGGAAUAUAUUUAUUCAUAUGUUUUUAAAUUUUAAAACUCAACAACUUAAGACUUAUUAUUAUUUAUUUUGCUAAUGUUGAUAUAUAGGUAUAGAAGGAUUAUAUUAUUGUAUUCGCUUAUAUAUUAUAAGAUUUUAUAUUUGUAUGGUCUAGAAAGUUCAUCAUGACAAGUUCGCUGAAGGGUCCUUUGAAUCGUAGGACCGCACUGUGAAGUAGUCAUCAUUGUCGGUCAGAUGUUUGACUCGGCAGUGAUAGCUCAUCACCAAUGGUGCAUCUGACAGCGAUAUGAGCUCAUCACUGCCAGUGCGGCGAACAAUCCUAGGGUGACGAAGAGCUCAUCACUGUUGGUGUGUCGCUUGAUGCAACAGUGAUGAAAAUCUCACUACUGUUCGUUGUACCAUGUCACCAUGGUUUGUAUAGGACAAUAGUGAAUAUAUAUUUUGAAUACUAACUAGCUAGCUAGGUCGUCAUUCGCCAAUACACUCCAACAUAAGAAAAAUGUGAAACACACUAAGACAUGUAUUGCAAUGCACUCAAAUUAGCUAGCUAGGUCGUCAAUUAAUUGACAAAUUUUAAGAACAUAUGUGCUGGAGUAGCUGUCUCAGAUGAGGGUGCACAUAUAAUCCAUGACAUAAAACCCACAUUGAUCAUUUCCAAAAGGCUAUGUUGUGAAUGAAUUGGUCUUAUGGUGAACCUAAAAUUCCAAAAUGGUCGAUUUUCUUGUUCUUUUGUGGUACUUCUGCCCUGUAUGGGAAUGAAACUAGAUCGAAGCUAAUAAAAGUCCAAUAUUUGCCGAAAUGGAAUGAUUAGUGUGUCUUACUUAUUAAGUGUUUCUAUCAAGGGAUGGAUAUACUUUCAUUCUCUCAUUCUCAAGUCGAAAAUGGUGAGAAUGCAUUUCUCAAGGUUGAUGUCAAGGACAAAAUGGCUAUUGCAUUUACAACGCCCGAGACAAAUCAGGCUCAAUCUUGGCAUACUCCCUCUGUCCCUUUUUAAUUGUCGCCGUUGGUGUGUGUGCCACAAGUUUGACUCGAUUUAUAGAAAACUAAAACAUUAGGCGCCCUUCGGGCGCCCUAUCUUGACCAUCUGGCUAAAUUUUUUAAGUACUAAAGUAUUUAGCCAAAAUUCUAACAAUAGUUUUCAUAUUUCAUAAAGGACAACACUAAAAAAUAUAUAUAUACAUAUAAACACAUAUUAUUGCACAAUAAAAAAUAAAUUAAAGCUCGAAUGUCAUUUCAGACAUCUUUGAAGACCUUUGCAUCAGGCUACACUUUAAAGGGCUAAUGAACAGUCUCAGAGAUCAAUUUAAGGGGUGAGAUUUGAAGGGAAAAAACACAUAUCUAAGUAGGAAGUGUACAGGCAACUACAGUAAACUUCAGAGUCAGUCCCAAAUUUGGUAAAGAAUAGAAAGAAUCUCUGGUUGAGGCAUCCUUAACACCAAUUUGUACUAAACUCCUCGACACCAGCUGGGCAAGGAAGUCAUUGACGGCGAUAACAUCGGCACUGAUGAAGUAGGGAUCCACAUUUCCCAUGAACAUCAUCUUUGUAUACCUGCUGAGAGAGUCGCACCAAAUCAGUAGCAGUCUUCAUCUACUAUGGAGGAAAGCAGCUGCAACAAUUGCACCAACUUGGAUAGGGCAAAAAAUUCAUGACUUAAGAUCAAAAUCGGUAAAGAAAAAAUAAUCUCUAUAGCCAACCUUAAAAAAACAUCUUACAAGCUGUCUAGCAAGUUAGCUUUCCUGCAAGCUAGUCCAAAAUUAGAGGUAAGGUCACUAUAAUGUUAUAUGGAGUUACAGACUGAGUAGCUAAAUUUACAUUCCGAAGAAGACAGAGGAAUGGACCAUACUGUUACACAUCUUCCUGAGCUUUUUGUUGGUUUGCUUAAUUUAAAGGAAUAUAUCAAAUGUCAAUCAAUUGAGGAUACAGGCAAUGUAGCAACAAAAAUAAUGUGCUGAUUACAAAAUACUAAAGAAUGCCUAGCAGAUGGUUUAUUAAACAAAUAGCACGAGCAACAAAUGGUUGCUGCUUCCUUACUGCAUGAUGUUUACUCUCCACUAUAUACUGACAAUACACUGAUUUCAGUGUAAUGCAUAUGCAUAGAAAAUGGCUUGUUAUUAGUAAAACUUGGAAGCAUGAGGAGCAGCAACUAAUACAUCAAUUUUUUUUUCUACAGAUGACCUUUUGGUUGAAACUUAAAUAUAGUACAUCAUUGAGGAGCAGCAAAAUUGAUCCAAUAUUGUUUGCCCCAUGCUCUUGUUACUUGUUAGACGUAAUAUGCAAGUUAAGCCAUUGAGUAGUUUAAGUUCCAACAGUGGUCAAAUCAAAACGGUCGACCAUGAAUGCUAUAUAGAUUAUAUAUCUAUUUUGGCCAGCAAUUGGCAUAUAUUUUGGACAACUAAAGCCUGAAGGAGCUAAUUCAUGCUAUGACUGAGAGUGAAAUGCUAGCAACUGCAAGCAAAGUAUUUUGGAAGUCACUUGCUUUCGUGAAAGGCUAAUCAUGCCUCUGCAACUUAUCCUAAAGUAGGAUGCACAACACACAUGAGUAGCAAUAGCCAUAGUGAAUAGUAAAAAUGAUGCUAACAUACUUAAAUGCACAGGACACUCCUUGAAAUCUUGAACAUGGAAUUCUAGUUCACCUGAACCUAGGCCGAAACGUUAUCAUAGCAAUCUCAUUAACUGGAUAUGCAAAAUAAUAGUUAUGCAGAUCGAUCAUCAGAGGUUGAAAAUAUUCUGACUCGCAUGAUCUAAAAAAUGGGAAACAAUAUUAACCUUAAAGUAACAUGUCCUUGCUAAGACAAGAUAGCUUCAACCACAGGACCUUAAGCAGCAGCAGCAGAAGCUAUACGCCCGGAGGCACUGGAAGGUGCAGAUGACACUCAACCGCUGCAAUUAUGGAAGAGACCAUGGCGGCAACCAGCUUAGAGGAGCAUCUAUGGGAGAAGAAUAAAGCUGAUGCCCACCUCGGGAAAGCACAUCACCAAUGCACAGAUCUAGAGUUGGGAACCACAUCAUGGUGCGAUCGAUGACUGAUCUUUGAGGAGCCAAGGAGUCAAGGGGAUGAAAGCGUACAGAUGGCAGGAGAGGGAAAGAGACCAGAUCUUACCACCGCCAUGUCGUACUUCCAAGGUCUGGUGGGAUCCUCAUGUGCUGCCAGGAUCUGGGCGAGUUCCUUAUCCAUUGCCACAGGGAAGAAGGCCUAGGAGAAAGGCUCACGGAGAGGGAGGAAUGAAGCUGCCUUUCAUGUGUGUCUAGGGACCACAGUCGUGGAGGAGCGACGACGGCGAUCCGAGAGGUGCGUGCAAAUGCAAGGGGCAUCGGCGGCCUGGAAAGAGAGAAUGGAGAGGGGAAUGAGGAGGGAAAGAGCUCGGCACUCUGCUAGGUGGAAGGGGCUCCCUGCAAAAUAUCAAGGGGAUUCUGCAAAAGAUGAGCAAGUCACGAAUUUCUUCUUCUCCAUGUGCGAAUAAAAUUUAUUUCAGGUUAUGGACUAUGCAGUGGAGCGCGGGUUAGUUUUUGAAGAAAUGGAGUGCAUCUCUGUAAAAUCGUCAAAGGCAUACCUGUCGCCACGGUAGAAAGCCACGGAGGCCAGAAUUCUCUGGAGGCAGCGAAGUCGAGUGACUUUUAAUCAACCCCGAUACGUGCAACAUUUAUAUCUCCAAAUAAAUUUGUUAAAAAACUAGAUUCAAAGAUCUUUCUAAUGAUACUAAUUAUGUAUUAUAAAUAUUAAUAUUUUUUAAUAUAUAAUUGCCGGCAGUUGUUUUUGGGAAGCGCAAACGACAAUUAAAAAGAGACGGAGGGAGUAUGUAUUGAAAAUAGGGAUACAAUAAGGACAAUCGUACGUACAUAUGGAAGGUUAGAAGUGUGAAUUAUUUGAUUUGCUGGGCAAGCAAGCCCUUUGUCUAUUCAUCGAUGACGCUAUUUAUCGUGUAUUGUCUUCUCAUUGUACAUAACUGAAGGACCGAAAAUGGUAACCAGGAGAAGGUGACUGAAAGCCUCAAAUUUCUUUUGAAAUAUUUGGCCACUGUCCUAAAAUCACUUCCAAGUACAAAUGAGUUUCAGGAUUAAGAUAUCCAGGCCAACUAGUGUCGAGAGUAUCUAGAUUGAUUGCUCGUAGCGGGAAAAAAUUAACGCAAUAAACGGAACACGAUUCGGAGAUCAAGCGAUUAAACUAUACACGAAAUAGAAAAUCAAGAUAGAGUAAAAGAGACUGAAAAAUGCAAAGAAAAAUCAAGCUUGAUGAACACAGAGAAAACUGCGCAGGUAUUGACACGCACACUGCAAUCAACUUCUGAGCUAAACAAAACUAGGGAUCACAGGCAAACAGCUGCUGCUUCAGUGCUGAAAUACUCUGCCACACAGCAAGAACAGGCGAGGGUGCCUGAACCCAAAAGAUAGCUCCUGCAUGGUGCCUAGGAGCACGAGCACGGCUCCUGCCUCGGCCUCCACGACGAACGAGCAGCCGACCUCCCACGAUGAACAGCACGGCUGUUAGAUAAGCCUAGCAUCUAUAUUUAGCACUUGCAUGUUUUUCUUUGAGUUGAGCACAUGCACAAGCACCAACUUAUGGUCGCCGUGCGUAUAGGAAGAGAUGGCCGAGGAUAGCUCGCCACGAACUCUGGCAUGCAACCACGGGCGAUAUUCGCGAGCGUGGGGAUGGACGCGCAAUUCUACGUUGUGUGUAUUGUGGACGCUAUGCGCUGCAUCAUUGUAUUUUUUCAAUAAAUAGAACAAUAACACCCAGAAAAGCUGUGCUUUUGCAAGCAGCACCAAAUUCACUUGCGCACAGUUCGCGUUCCAGUUCGUUCGCCUCGUCUCCAUCGGCGUACAUAGCUGUCCGGUGACUAACAACGGCAACAGGUCAGGGCCAAAACAAUCGGCACAGCCUGUACGACUCAGCUGCAGGGGAAACGGCAACAGACGCAAAACUGAUUGACGCCGAGCCUGACCGCACCGGUGGCCAGCUGUCCCCCUCACCAGUAUGCUCAACUGGAGCUCAGGCCUUGUUUAGUUCACCCAAAAAUUUAAAAUUUUUCAAAAUUUUCUAUCACAUCAAAUUUUAUAGCACAUACAUGAAGUAUUAAAUAUAGAAAAAAAUAAAAACUAAUUGCACAAUUUACCUGUAAAUCGCAAAAUGAAUCUUUUGAGCUAAGUUAGUCUAUGAUUGAACAAUAAUUAUCAAAUAAAAACGAAAAUACUACGGUAUGCAAAACCAAAAAAAUUCAAAACUAAACAAGGCUGCACGUGAUGAACAGAGGAAGCCGACGGAAGAAAACCAAAUAAAAAUCAACAUCAAGAUGAUUCGCUCCUAAACUAAGCACAGGUGAUCUCAAUAAAGUUGAUGACCAUACUUUAUGAGAUCAUCGCUCAAAAUCAACUCAUAACUUGGGAAAGUCAGAUCACGUGGAAGAACUAAAAAAACCCCAAAACCAAAAAUUGCUUGGAUCUUGAUGCACGAGUAGAAUUGAUUCAAAUCACUUGGUGAGCAUGUACAUCACUUGAUGGAGCAUCAUCAGAGCCAAACCAAUUCCACAGAAAACUCAAUACGAGCACGGAUCAAGAAAGGGAGAAAACUGAUGAACAGUAACUCAGAAAAAUAAAAAAUAGGAACACAAACAACAUUGCUCAGAUCUUCAUGUCCAGAGGACAGGGGGAGGUUAGGGCCUGCAUUCCCAAAUCCAAAAGUCUCAGAAAUCACCACGAAUCUUUGUUCAAGUGACCUCUCCCAUGAACUAAGCAGAAGGGGAAAAAACUAACCCUAGGUGGGAAUGAGAGAAAUGAUAGGAUGGGAGAGUGGUGAGGGAGAUGGGGGACUCCCCCUCCUUAAUUAUCGGGCAUAUUACACAUUCCCUAUUUGUCCCUAUAUAUUUUUGAGUGAACUAGCUAGCCUCAGAGGUAUUCUAGUCCAACUCGACAUAACCUAAAUUCGACGGCCACCAUAUGUCCUUCAUGAGGUAACUUAGCCUUGACGCCAACUCCUCGAUGCCGCCACGUGCCGUCCGUUCCUCGGAACAUCCGCCCUGGUUUUGAUGCCCAAACCCGCGAAACCCGCCGCCAGUAGCGUACUCCAUACGCUUCCCCUGCCACUCGACAUGUGUCACCUCCGUCUUUGACCGGCCAGCCCGCCAAGUCCUCCUGAGCCUCGCUCGACUCUCACGUCCACCGUCUUGACUUGGUCGAUACGGUCACUCUCAUGUACACUUGCAUUUAUCGAUGUCCUAGAUGUCAGCCACUACGACUGGUCACCCGGCCUCCUGGUCCGUGAGUCCAAGCCUCACAUCAAACCUUCACCGCUCUAGGUCCAUUGGCACGAUACGUCUCUACUUGACCUUCUCCUCGCCGUCGAUCACCGCUUCCGAGCUCCACACCUGCAUACCACAAGCCAAGAGACAUGUCACAUGACACAACUCACGCCAAUGGUUAGUCACCAACUCAAUCUAGAUCAUGGAUCACGUUGAUAAUCACUCAUCACAAAUCGAAGCACAAGGGCACAUUUCAACCUUAUUAUGUUCGCAAUAACUGUUUUUAAGAAUCCUAUGUUAAUCCCUCUCAACCUACAUAUGUGUAGCCAUCCUACAAAACUCAGCCUAUAUCAAUCCUGCCUUCUUUUGGAUCUGGAAAUCAAAAUGCAUCCUAAGAAUUAAGGGCUAGUUUGGUUACUGCCAUGAGAAAAUUGUCUGGUGCAGGGAGCUUUCCUAGGUGGCUGAUUUUAGACGCCUGGGGUGGAGACCGAUACCUGGGGCAGUCAUCAAACCAAACAGGCCCGAAUGCUUGGCUGGUCAUGGUGGACAAGCUAAACACCAAAACUACGCUGUGGCGCCAAAGCAUUAAUAUGCAAGGAGAUGUUUACCACGUGACGUGCAACAACAUAAUGGGGGUAUUGGUCAAAUCACAUUCUUGAUUUUUCUAAUUACCGAUGUUGAUCGGACGUUUGUUGCAUAGUCUAUUUCAUUUAUAAUGAUGAUAUUCGAGUUAAAACCUUGGAGUAAAAUUAAAGGGGCUCUAUUUCCAUGUUUCCAGAUGUUUGAUUCUCAAAGUAAAUUAUGUUCAGAGAAAAUGAUGACAACAAAGAAGAUCAAGUAAAGUCCAAUUCUUGGUUAAUAUUACCUGAAAAAUGUCAAUGAGCUCGUUGUUGGCAAAAGCUGAUUGUCGUGUGACACAGUCAAGCAGGAAUACGCCACCUAUAUGACUACAAGUAAAAGAAAAUUAAAUGCAAACGAUAAGUCAUCCGUGAUCUCCAUCCUGAAACAUCUCUUGCGCAGCUUUACUUGAUCAGAGCAUGUUAAUAUCAAUUCAAUGGCAUGACAUCACGGACGCAGAAGUCUUUACAGUUACAGUAUAUGGAUGCCGAAGGAUGUGAAACAACAGAGAAGAAACGUUGGCGUCAAAAGGAUGGGAGAAGAAAUAUCAUAUACUUUUAUAAAGCAAAAUCAUACUACCUAUUUCUCUCAACGUCUAUUUCUCUCAACGUCUAAUCUAUCCAUCUAGGCAAUUCACUAUCAUACACAAUUAAAAUUCACUACCUCAUGCAAUUGUAAUGUCUACGUCAGCAUGUCACCUAUUUCUAUGAGCAUGCAAGCUGUCCAACUAAGUAAUACACGCUCUAACUUAUUGAUAUUCUUUCUUCAUACCCAAAACAACGCGUGAAGAAUCCUUCUAAUUUCUAUAAUGUUGCAAAGUCGUGCUAGCUUCUAGAUCGCAGCAAAAAAAUCUGAAACACCAAAAUUCCACCAUGUAGUGCGCAACGACGAUAAACACCAUGGUAGCCACAGGUACCUCGCUAUCUAUGAUAAUAUUUUCUACCAGUUGAAUACUGCUCAUUAGUCCUGGUAAAAAAAAAUACGAGCAACCAUGCAGAGUUGAUAGUGAGUGGAUUCGACCACAUCCAUCGAAAUCUCCAUGCUCAAUUCGCGUAAAUAUAAAAGGACAUAGUUCUUAUUUUUUGAGGAGUUAAACGAUUUAAAAUUUGAACAAAGCUAUAUAAAAAUUCUAACCUUUAUGAUGCAAAAUAAGUACCAUGAAGUUAAUUAUGAAAUGUAUUUUUUUAGUAAAUCUAGUUGGAGAUAUAAACUUGGUCACAGUUAAGGUUAUCUGACUUGCGUAAAUUCCAUAGUUGCAUUUUUGUGGACUGAAAAAGUAUUAUACUAAGUGGCUAGGAUUCACAACUAACAAUUGAUGGACGCUAGCUUAUCAUCUUGAUCGAUCUAAUCAUCAGUCGCCUCUUCUACGUCUCUUUCCCCGCGGGCAAAUUUUGUGGUCCGCCCCAUGAAAGCGUUCAUAACCACCCAUAUUUCUUUCCCAGAAAAGAUUUCUUUAGCUGCUCACCUAUGAAAUGCAUCAUGCAUGACAUGGUGGAAAGGUAUUGGUCAAAUAAAAUUCUUGAUAUUUAAUUACCGAUGUUGAUCGGAGGUUUCCACAAUCAUUUGCCUGUAGUAUAUUUCAUUUAUAAUAGUAAGAGAUGUAAUAAAGAAAGAUAUGUCUAGGGUUGAAAUAUAUAUGGAGGUAUAUGACGACAUACACCUUUUUUAGUAACGCCAAACAGGCAAAGACGCUACAUGUAAACAUAUCGAUGAUAUUUGAGUUCAAAUCGUGGAGUAAAAGGGUCUCUGCUUCCUUGUUUCUAAAUUUUUAAUUUUCAAAGUAAAUAUUCCUUCAAAGAGAGUGAUGGCUAGAUCUAGUGUAUUAGAGUCGAACUCUUGGUAAAUAUUACCUGCAAUGUCAAUGAUCACAUUGUUAGGAAGAGUUGAUUAUCGUGUGACACAAUCAAGCAGAAAUACGCCACCAAUAGGACUACAAUAAAAACAAAAUUAGGCCUUGUUUAGUUGGUGAAUUUUUUUGCUUUUCGCUACUAUAGCACUUUCGUUUGUAUUUGGUAAUUAUUGUAUAAGGACUAUUUAUGGCUCGAAAGAUUUGUCUCAUAAAUUUUAGACAAACUAUAUAAUUAAUUAUUUUUUAUUUUUAUUGCUUGAUGCAUAUGCCGUAAGAUUCGAUGUGACGGUGAAUCUUGAGAAAUUUGGGAACUAAAUAAGCCCUAAUAUGGAAGCGAUCAGUCGGUCCGUGCACCUUCAUCUCCUCCUGGGCCGAGUUUAGUUGCCGAAGAAUUUUGCAAAAUGGUCAAGAUUUCCCGUUGUAUCGAAUCUCGCGGCACAUGCAUAAAGCAUUAAAUUUGGAUAAAAAAUAACUAAAUGCAUAGUUUGCCUAUAAUUUAGGAGACAGAUCUUUUGAGUCUAGUUAGUGUUGGAAAUAAAAGCAAUUUAGCGAUGCAUAGAUUAAUUCCGACAACAAGAAAAAGACUAACAACAUGUAUCACAGAUACAUGAAUCAAAACUAGCACUACGAUUUGAGACAAAUUCACGAGAUCUAGUGCUAGCAAUAGAAAUGAUAUGAGAGCGAACAACAGCGAGAAGGUAGACAUCCUUACAGGGGGUUGUUGGCGCGAAGGAAGAAGAAGAAAAGGACCAUCGACGGAGAUCGGCAAACACUGGACGUAGAGGGAAGAAGAUGUCCAGCGAGCAGUCGCGACGACGCUUUCCAAAAACCUGAUAUGCCCCCUACCUCGAGCAGGGGUGCAAGAGGCGUAGGCUUCAGAGCCUACUCUCCUAACACCGAUGGCACGUCGGCGACGGGAUGGAAAAGACAGCGGCAGCGUAGUAAUGUGGUGAGGAAGAGAUGAAUCUCUCGGUACUGAGGAGGACAUCUCGCUCCAUAUUUAUACACACGUCGCACGCAACUAAGGAAAGCAAUUAGCCGCUCAAUCAUUCAUAGUAUUAUGGAAAUUAUCUGCCGUUUACUGAUGAAUUAUGAGGAUGCUACGAUAGCUAGGAAACAAAAAAUUUCGACCUCAUAAAGCAAGAUCAACUACAAGUUAUAAAUCACGGGAUUACCACUAGACGCGCAGGUGCAGCGGAAGCGACUUGGUGUAGUCGUGCGCAUAGUAGCAGUGUCGUGCAAUUGCGUGGUCGUCCACCACGCCAAUCCCUCUCCUGCGGUUCGUCCUUGUGCUCUAGAUGCAGCACCUCCGAGGUAUCCCACACGUGUGGGGAAGAAGCAUUACGCGUCCGGACUACUAGGUCCGCGAGGAGCAAUAGGCACGAGCGUGGGUGAGCGUCGGCGGCUGCCUAAUGGCAUUAGAUUUUUUCCUAGCCACACCCUCUCCCUCUCUUAUAUAGGCGUCCUCCAAUCAGCCAUGAGUCGGAGGCCCAAUUAGAAACCCUAAGCCUUGUCUAAUUCGAGACCAACCCGAAUUAGGUUUCCAGCCCCUUAAGCGUGCGACCCUAUGGGUUGACUUAUAUAUAGACAUGGGUCGAGUACUCCUACUCCCCAAUAGUUGACAGCGGCCUCUAGCAAGGCGUGACAACUCCUAUACGUAUGCAAAGAUCAUAUCAGACGAUCCACUACAUACAUAUACAUGUUAUUCCCUUGCCACACGAUAUUUGGUCCAACUCAUGGGUUAACACUUAACCCAAUCACGGCCAUGCAUUUGUUGAUCCAAUCACUUGAGUGAUCCAGUGAUAUCUCUCUCACAUAGAGAGGGGCAAGUUCCAUCUUGAUCAUCUAUGUCUCACAUCAUGUUUCCCGACAAACCCGAAGACCACCUUUAUAACUACCCUCUAAUGGAGUAGCGUUUAAUAGUCACUAAGUAGGUCAUUUCACAUCUUGAGAACAUACGACAAUCUCAGGUCUAAGGACAUAAUGUACAUGAUGUAUAAAGAGAUAAUAAGAACAUCUCAUGUUGGACCAGUCCAGCCCCAUGUCAUACAUGUGCCCACAUUAUUAGUUUGACAUCUCUAUGUCUAUGACUUGUGAAACAAAGUCAUCAACUAAUACAUGUGCUAAUCUAAUAUUCAUGUGUAUCCUCACACAAACUGUGAUCAGGGACAACUUUAGAAUAACCAUACAAGUAAAAGACUUUCACAAACAAUUCACAUAAUUGUUAAUCAAUACAAGUUUGUUUAUAAUGGAUAUUCAUCGAACUCAUAUCAUGCUUAGGCUGUAGAAGAGCCUUUGUCAAAGGAUCUGCAAUAUUCAAAUCCGUAUGUAUCUUGCACAUCUUAAUUUCACCUCGCCUAAUGAACUCUCGAAUGAAGUGAAACUUCCGUAGUACAUGUUUGUUCUUCUGUUGAUUCCUAGGCUCCUUAGCUUGUGCAAUCGCCCCAUUGUUGUCACAAUGUAGAUUCAAUGGGCUCGACGCAUUCGGAAACACACCAAGCUUAAAGAGGAACCUCCUCGUCCAAACACCUUCAUUCGCAGAUUAAGAAGCUACGAUGUACUGUUGAUGGUAGAUAAGUAUCAAUUUUAUAUCAACAAGAGAAUGAAAUAAGGGCAUGAAAUAAUCACCAAUAAUAGAAUAGGGUUUCAUCUGACAGAUUUCCAUAGGUUUUGGUGAAUGUCUGUUUUUGUAGGGGGUUAUCAGGAAUUAACCCUUGGAGGCCCACAUGUCAUGAUUACAUAGAGCAAAACGAGAUAUCUACGCAAUGUAUACAAAAUAAGGAUCUAGAAGAGUCAAGAAUCCACCAGAACAAAGUAGAACACGAGGGGAGUCCGGGGGAGGGCGUCUAGAGGGGGCGGCCGCCCUGCCCUCCUGACCAAUCAGGAGCAGUCUCGUGGAUUGAGCUAUAACCGCCUUUGAGGAGCAAGGAUCUUCGUCCAUUAAGUUGGUUUGAUCCAAGGCUCUUGGUUCAUCCCACCGGCCUAUAUAAGGAGUACAGCCUAGGGUUAGAGACAUUGAUUAGAAGAGAUAAUCAUUCUCAUUCAUAGAAUUCAUUCUCUACCUUCUUCUCUCUAGAGCUCUAAGUUUAGAAGCAUAGCUACAUAGAAUAAUUCUAGUUGGAGGCAAGCAUCGCUUGGUUUCUAGAUCUGUCGGAGAGAUACUCGGUAAUUCCUGUAAUCUUUCUCCUACUUUAUUCUAGUUCAUCAUUAUAUAUAUUAUUUCAUCAUAUUAUGAGUAUGUCUUUGCUCUAUUCUAUUAUAUUGGAUAUGACUUUGCUCUACUUGCUUAUAUUCUUAAUUAUAUUAUUCUUAGUCUAUUAUGAUUAUAUGCUUGGCAUAGUUGGUUUAGAUUUAUAUUCAAAUAUAUGUUCAUAUAGCGCUCACUCUUUGAUAUCAUGGGUGGUCGACAUUAUGUAGGUGUGGUGCCUAUAUCGUGUUUGCCUAUGUUUGCAUGCUAUAUUCUAGGUCGUGUGGUAGAUCGCGGGGUUGAUAUACCCAUUGAGUCCUCUGUAGUCCACCCUCUAAAUGUAGUUUUUGUAGACUCUAAUUACGAGGAGAUGAUUGCUCUGUUCUUGAUUUUCCUCAAUAAUGUCCAUAUGUUUAGAUAUAAUCUGCUCUUGCUAUGAUUGCCAAGUAUAAUUGCACUAAUCAUAAUAUGCUAGACUAUAUAGUUGGAAUAUCAUAGGAAACAUCUUAGUAGAUCAUUCUAAUUCAUGCUAGUGCUAUAGACUGGAGUACUCUAGAGAUACAUUUAUCAUUCUAUGUUUGAUUACUAUUAAUUAUAUAUAUAUAUCUAUAUUUAUCUUGAUUAUGUGACUUAACCCUGCAUUAAGUUAGAUAGAUAAGAUGUGGUUGCCCUCAUGAGAUUACAUGCAAGUGAUAUCUAUUCCCUUGGCUAUCCUUCCCGCGGGUAAAAUUAUAAAUACGAUACCAGGAACUUCCCUUGGUGAAAUGCUACAAUGGUACACAUUUGUGCGCUUGCGGAUACCUUAUUCUAUAUUCAUCAUUCUAAGAGGGCAUUACAUAUUUACUACCACUAGCGUAUUUCUUGGGGUCAUGCUGGGGAUGGCAACCUAGCCACUGAGGAUAGGGUCUUUACUCUACUCUUAAUAUGUGAUGCUAAAAAAUGCCAACGAGUAUUUGUGGCACCAUUGUCAGGGAAGGUUUUGGCUAUUCAAAAGGAAUUAGAGACAUCACUUGUAAACCACUCUCACAUGAGGCAUUAUUAUUAUCUCUAACUUAUGCAGGCUCACCCUUGUCUUUUGUCUAUUUAUGUAUCUUAUGCAGGGUGAUGUAUGAAAAGAUCUGAUCUUCCAGAUAAUUUCACUAUCUAUCCAGAAGCAAUACUCAAGAGAAAUAGAGCUAUGUUGAAGAAAGUACACAAAUCACCAUCAUUAUCAUCAUCAUCUUCAUCUGAGCUCGAAGAUUCAAUUGAUUCGGAAGGUCAUUCAAGAGUUAUUCGAAGUUUGACACCAGAGUUUGAAGCGAUGGCCGAAAGAUCACUUUGCGAGUUCUCUCCUCCCACCACUGACAACAUCCACACUAGACCUAUUGUAAAUAUUGGCGAUCAACCAUUUGAGCUCAAGCCGGUGCUGAUCAACAUGGUGCAAGCUAGCUGGUUUUGCGGAAAGACGCAUGAAGAUGCGAGUGCUCAUCUUCAGAACUUUCUGGAGAUAUGUAGCACUUUCACUAUCAAAUGAGUUACAAGAGACACCAUACUACUCUGUCUUUUCCCAUUCUCACUCUUGGGAAGGGCGAAGCAGUGGUUCUACACUAACAAGGACAAGAACACUACAUGGACGAUCUGUUCCACCAACUUCCUGGCUAAAUUCUUCCCUGUGGGCAAGUCGAAUGCUCUGUGAGGGAAAAUUUCAAGUUUUCAACAACAUAAUGAUGAGACAGUCCCAGAGGCCUAGGAGCACUUCCAAGAUUACAUCCUAGAAUGACGUCAUCAUGGAAUAGAGAAUUGGCUACUCAUGCUAACAUUCUAUCAUGGGUUCUCCAAUAGCACCCGUGAGACCAUGGAUGCCGCUGCUAGAGGAGCAUUCUUAUCAUCGACUCUUGCUCAAGCCACUGCUCUUGUGGAAAAGAUGGCCUCCAAUCAAGGUUGGAGUGGAGAACGUGCGCAAACCCGCAAGAGAGGUGGAGGUAUGCACCAGCGCAAGGUAGUAGAUAUGCUGAGCACCAAGAUGGACUUUCUGAUGAAGAGGCUCAAUGAUAGAGCUAGUGAGAAGAACAAGGUCAUGCACAUUAUUGACUCUCGUAUGACUUGUGAAGAAUGUGGAGACACUGGGCAUUCAGGCAACCACUGCCCAACACUCCAGGAGGAUAUGAGCUACCUCAACAACAACUACUAAAAUCGUCCUAAAAAAUCAAGGCUGGAAUCAACAGAGGCCUAACUACUCAACCAACUACUCCUCAUGUAACUACCAAGGUAACAACUUUAGCAAUAAUUUCAAUCAACCACCUUUGAGAGAGUUAGUUGUGAAUCAAGGAAAACUCAUGGAUAAUCUGUCUAAGAAAAUUGCAUCCAGUGAUAAAACUUUAGAAACCAUAAAUGCUAGGAUGGAUAACUUUGCAAUAGCAAUUAAGAAUCAACACAACUUUAAUAAAAUGAUUGAAUCUCAAUUGAUAAUUGUUGUUCCUACUACUAACCAAGGAAAGAUUCUAGGGCAACCGAAAGAAUUAGAAUCUACAAAUCUUGUUGAUAUAUACACUGCAGGGAAGUAUUUUAGGGCUAUAUCAACUGGAGGCUAGAAAUAUGAGUCCUUGCCUGAGAAGAAAGGUGAUCCAGGAAGGCCGAUCAUCCCCAUCAACAUUGGAUGCAACCACUUCCUAGAAGUCCUUUGUGACUUUGGUGCAAGCGUCAAUAUCAUGCCUAAGGUAUUAUACGAGAAAAUUCAUGGAGAUCCAUUGUUGUAUACAACCAUGUGCUUGCAGAUGGCAGACUAUAUGCUAUGCUACCCGAAAGGAAUCCUUGAAGAUGUCUAUGUUCGAGUUGGCCAAUCAUAUGUCCCUGCAAACUUCAUGGUAAUAGAGAUCGGAGGUGAUGAGAGAGCACCCAUCAUCUUGAGUGCCCAUUCUUGUGCACCACCAAGGCCAUCAUCUACACCGACAAUGCAAAGAUCAGUUUCAACAUCAAGGGGAGAAAGGAGAUGUUCACCUUCCGAAAGUGUACACUCAAAGAUCCUGCACAUCCUGAGACACUGUACGAUCAUCAGAACUAUGAUGGAGCUGAGAUAAAGAAGAAGAAUCAAAGGAACAGGAACCGACAACCAAUGGUUGAGUCAGUGAGGAUGGUCACAGCCGUUGACAAAGACCAUGACCAUCUCCUCAUAUCUCGCCACUUGAUCAAAAGAGAAGACCCUGGUGCGCCAACUAUUGAAUGGUCACAGCCGUUGACAAAGACCAUAAAUAGAUGCUCCUUUUAGAAGACAGUUUGCGACACUAGAGCCAAAGUCAACAUCAUGGCUAAGGUAACCUAUGAAUUUCCUUUAGGAGGAAAAGGAAGUUGAGGACACUUUUUCCAAUAUGCUCUUCUAAGAAGGUCUGAUCGACGUACAAGCAUCUUAGCUAACUGAAAGUCUAAAUCAUCAUUGUGAGGUUUUGAUGGUUUAGAGUUGAUAACUAAAUCUUGGGAUUGGGGUGAUUGUGUUUUAGCUACCAAAACUUCCUCUUCUUGUUUGGGAGAUGAUUCCUUCUCUUCCUCGGAGAGCUCAAGAUAGGCCUGAACAACCUUUUCUAGCAUCGGUCUGGCUUCAGUUAUAGGCAAGUGAAGAAAAGCUCCUCCAGAGGCUAAAUCAAGGGAUUCCUUAGAUUCUUUGGUAAGACCCAAAUACAAAUAUUGAAGAAGCAUGGGGUCUGGAAAACCAAGGUCACGGCCAAAUGUGAUAAGUUCAUUAAAAUGCUCCCAUGAUUUACUAAGAGAUUCUUGUUCUAGUUGCCUAAAAGUUUGAACCUCUUUUCGAAGGCUAGCUACCUUGGAGAUGGGAAAAAAGUGUAAACAUAAUUAAAAAUAUACCAUGUCCCAAUCACCCUACAUACUCCCUAUGACUCGAUUAUACCAAUGUUUAGCUUUUCCUGUCAAGGAAAACGAAAAAAGCUUCCAUCUAAUAGUCUUAUCAGACAUGCCAUUAAUGCGCAAGCAUGCACAGGUCUGCUCGAAUUCUCAUAGAUGUAAGUAUGGGUUUUCAUUACCUUCUCUCGAGAAGGGUUUAUCCCGUACCAUAUUAAUUAAACAUGGGCGCAGCUCAUAGCCAGGUGUUGUGAUAGGUUCAUUAGAUUUUGGUGGCCUGAAGCUUCCACACAUGCCAUAAGGACAUAUAGGAAUAGAAUUAAAAGCAUCCAUAAGGAUGAACCCAAAAAUAAUGAUGAGAAUGAGAUAAAAAUAAGAAAACAUAAAAGUAUAAUACAAGAUUAAAAUGCUUGUUGGUAUAAAUUAACUGCACUCCUUUAAAUAAGACUUAAGUAAGAUUAUCCGCAAACGCACAGAUAUCGUACUAAUGUCACAUUUUACCCGGAGGUUUUAAAUAUCGUAUCCACAGGGAACAGUUGUGAUAAUGACAAAGUCUAUAGACCUAACCCAACAAUUAGGCAAGAUAAAUAUCGAGAAAGAGGAAAUAGCUAAUGACUUCUAGUUCCGACAACCGGUAAGCUUUGUAUAAUAUUGUUCUAACUAGGUAGUAACCUAAUAGGAGAAGAAAUAGAGUAGUCUCCAACCGGCACUUCUGGGGCUCCUAUCAGUCCUAUCAAUGGGAAAUGAACUACAGAGGAACCAACGCAGCUGUCACCUACACGGACUACCACUAUCCGACUAAUAAGGGGACAUCCACAAGUAAACCUAGCCUAGGCACCACGCCUACACUACGGAAUACAACUUUAACCUACAGGGUCCUAUAGAUCAAAGUACUCAAUACAAGUUGCAAACUGAAGAACGAAUAAAAACAAAUGCUUACUUGAAUCAGAAUGUUGAUUACAAAAGUACCUCAUAAUGCAGCUCCGGGCAAGGGAGCUGAACCCUGAAGAAUACAGCAAAGAAGCGCCGACAUGCCAGAAAUCCUCCACAACUCUACUCCUCUACUCUAUCUCUCUAUUAGUCUCUUCUAAUAGCUACACCUAUCUUUUAAUCUCUAGAGAAGAGAUGUUAUCCAUUCGAGGGACACCUAUACAACUCAUAAUAAUGGUGCACUCAAAUAUGAGGGUCUACCUCUUUAUUUAUAGCCUAGAAAAGCCUCCCACCUCUUCUGAACAGGCGAUAUGUGGAACUAAUUUUCCACCGUUUGCUCUGUUGGGCUAUUAUACAUCAACUUGAGCCUUCCAAUCAUCCCUCAUGUGAGCCCACUCAAAGGAGCAGCAGCUUGGGGCACCUCUCUUGGGCCUCUAUCAUGCCAUAUGAGCCUCUUCUCACGUCAUGGGCCUUCCUUGGGGGUGGGGCCCAUUAGUGGCAAUUCUCCUUUAUUUGUAAAAUUAAUAUCUUUUCACUCCAGACUCCAAAUAUAGCAAAUGGUAUGUCCGUUUCGAUCGUCUUGACGAGCCCAUUGCAAUGGUGUCAUCCAAAACGUCAUUUGACAUAUUUUUAUUUGAUGGAAAAUUGCAUAUUCCUACAAAACAAGUGAGAGCACCAAAACUCGUGGAACUUGUUAAAAUCAAAACCUACAACUAUGCUUUGUGAUUUAUUUUAUAUUAAAUUAUGUAAUAGUUGACGGUUAUAUUUGGUACUUAAUGACCGUCAACUUUUUAUAGCAAUGUUCCUUAUACAUAAACGAAGAGUCUUUUGUGCUAUAUAUGAUAGUGUAGCAUUAGAGUAGAUGGAUGACUUGAUAAAUUAGAACUACAUAGGAUUUUCUGUCUCUUGAACUAAUCAAACGUCUACCUAAUAUUAAGCUGAGUAGUCUAUAUCUAGUCUCUAUAUUCCCUGGGCUUCUAUAUUUUAUAUAUUAUAUAUCUAUGGUUUACUCUCUUGCCAAGUAUGUGACUAUGCAACCCAAUCACUCAUAAGUAGACAUGUUUUGCAAGUUGAUCUCAUUGUUUAAGUCCUUAGUUCUUUUCCUUGAACUAAAUAUAAAUAAUAAUACCAGGAAUACUUCUCGGUGAAGUGCUACAAUGGUAUUUAAUCUGUACGCUUGCGGAUCCUAUAUUUAUUUUAUUAGUGGACAGUUUUUAUACCACACUUCUAGCACCAUGCUAGGGAUGACAACUUAGCUUAAGUAGUGUUAGAAGUGUCAACAAGCAUUUCUGACGCCGUUGCCGGGGAAGGAAUAAACUUUUAGAGAAAAAUUGCCUAAACAGAUACUUAAUAAAUGAGUAUGUAGCUUGCUAGUGACCUCUACUUGGCAGGUUUACCCUUGUUUGUUUUUUCUGUGUUUAUUUUUUAUACAGGGUAAUAGCAGGAUUGAAUCUGAUUCACUCAAUUCUUUAUCUAAAUUGGGUCAAUCAAGAAGGAAGCUCAUCACAAGUAUUUGAAGCUAUGGCUAAAAAUACCUUGUUGGAGUUCUCUGCUCAAAUAGUGGAGAACAUCCACACUAGUCCAGUACUGAGAACAAAAAAUAUUGAGUUUGAGCUCAAGCCAAGCCUCAUCAACAUGGUGCAAGCUAUCCAGUACAGUGGAAAGGAAAAUGAAGAUGCAAGUACACAUAUACAACUUCAUGGAGAUUGGAAACACCAUCGCCACAGAAAGAGUUAAUAAAUAUAUCAUACUACUUCACCUCUUUCCAUUCUCACUAGUGGGAAGAGCGAAGCAAGGGUUCUAUGCCAACAAUGAAGACAUCAACACAUGGGGCAAAGUGUACCAAGGCCUUUCUAGCAAAAUUCUUCCCAAUAGGUAAGACAAAUGCCUUAAGAGGAAAGAUUACCAACUUCCAACAACAAAAGACAAAAAGCAUUUUAGAAGCAUGGGAGCGUUUGCAAGGAUACAUUCAAGAUUGUCCUCAUCAUGGAAUAGAAGAAUGGUUACUCAUGUAAGACUUUUAUCAUGGAUUAAAUCAAAAGACAAGUGAGCACCUGGAUGCCACUGCUGAAGGAUCAUUCUUAUCACUCACUCUUGGGAAAGCUAAGGAGCUUAUGGAGAAGAUAUCAGAUAAUCAAAGCUGGUCCCAAGACAAAGGUGUAGAAGCAAUUGAAGAAGUAAAUGCACUGUCCACCAAGAUGGAUGACUUGCUCCACUGGUUAGACUAGAGGGCCAAGUAUAAGGAAUACCAGAGGGCGACUGAAGCAAUAUCUAAAUCAAAUUCAAGUCCUACCGUUAGGAAAGUUCCACAUCAACCAAAUUGGAGAUAGCAUCAAAAUAGCCAAGGUAUGAAUUCAGGUAAUUUUACAAAUCAACCAUCUUUAAGAGAGAUAAUUAUGUAGCAAUCCAAAAUCAAUCUAGACAUUAAAGCUAGGCUUGCUAAUUAUGAUAAAACCUUGUGUUGGGUAUUUUAAACGCAAACAGAAAAAAUCCGCAAGCGCACGGAUACCGAUGUAGCCUUCACCCGGGAGUAUUCCAGAGUAUCGAUUUUCCACAGAGAACGUGACUGUACUAAUUAAGAAUCAAGAUCGCCCAAGGAUAACUAUAUAAUUAUUUUUGGUGGGAAGAGAGGAAGUUUCCAGAGAGUUCUCUAGUUGAUCUAAGAAUCAAGAAUUACUUCAAGAUUAUCUAUUUUGGGACAUCAGAACACUAACCACAGAAAGAGAUGAGAAGGGGGCUAGGAAGCUCUGACUACGGUCCUACAAACACCGAUCCGAACGAGGUGGAAUACGUCGACCGUUAGGGCUGUCACUACCCUAGGGCUACCACAACAAUCCGCAGGAUUGGGUGCAAUUCUAGGUAAUUGCAAGACUAAACACCACGACUAAUCUAUUAAUUACUACUCUAAUGUUUCAAAGAUUAGAGCACUUGAUGCAAGCGGGAAUCUAAUAAAUAACUUGAAUGUAAAUAAAAGUAAUUAAAGAACUCAGGAAUUAUGAAUUGAAGAACCUGGAGAACGAUGAAGAACGAACCAGUUGCUGCAAAAGUACAAUGUUGAGGAAGAUCCGACAGAUCCGGCUCCUCCUCCGCUCUCCUCUUCUCUCUCCCUAUUUUCUAGAUUACAACUAGAACUAACUAGAACUAGAACUAGAGGAACUAGAACUAGAACUAGAUGAACUAGAACUAGAACUAGAUAAACUAGAGGUAGAACUAGAAGAACUAGAGGGAUACUCUCUACUUGGAUGAAGAAUUGAAAUGCUAGCUUUGAUUCUGUAGAAGAGGUAUGAUCUCCAGGGGCCAGGGGACCUUGCUUAUAUAGUCUUUUCAAAUGAGUCUAGUCUGUCGGAUCAAACCGACAUUGAUCGUGUGGUUUUCCUUGAAGUAUUAGGUCGGUGGAGCAUGAUCUCCGAGCUUCACCCUGAUUGGUCCAGGGGGGAGGGCGGGCGCCCAGUAAGGGAGGGCGGGCGCCCAGUGCCCGGCCCCGUCACGUCUCCCGUUCGCUCCCGUGGCUUCUAGACUCUUCUAGAUGGUAGAUAAUUGCGCGUCAAGUUAAUAUCCCUAUGUAAACCCAACGUGUGGGCCAUUCUUCCGUAUUUCCUGAUAACCCCCUACAGAAAUAGAUAAACACCAAAACUCGUGGAAUUCUGUCAGAUAAAACCCUAAGUCUACUUGUUAGUUGCAUUUGGAUCCUUUUCCAUGAUUAAUUGAUGGUUAAAUGUGAGCAUUAAGGACCGUCAACAAGCUCCCCCAAGCUUAACCUUUGCUCGUCCCUGAGCAAAGAUAAACUCAAAAGCUUCUGCAGUGGUUUCAUGUCUUAAAGAUAUACAUGCAUUCCAACAAGAUCUCAUCUCUGGGUUAGGGUAAACUGUUAAUAUUUAAACUUACUCAUAUUACCUUCCACCAUGGGGCUUGUAACCGUCACCUGUGUCUUGAGCAGUUAAAAGAUAGAACGGUCUAGUCAAGCGCCAUGUCUCUUGUCUUCGAUUAACUAUAGCUCUGGAGUUUUUGUAGAUUUUCAAAUAAAACUCAGAGAUUCCUGUAUGACUCUCUCUAGUCUCUCUUUUGUGGUAUUUCUGGAUCCUUACCAAGGCAGUGAUGAUAUAUGCCUUCUCUCAAAGUAUGUGGUAUUUGUGGUAUGAGGCAUAGUGAUAUUGCCUUCUCUCUCACCCUAUUCUAAUAAGGUUUGAUAUCUCGAGCUCAUAGGUGGGAGACAGCUAAUACGUACUUACAAGACAUUUAUUGCAUAGUCAAACCAUGGAUCCAGAGAAACAAGUCAAUAAGUCAAAUCAAGAUGUGCAUGUGUGGCGGAUGAUUGGUGUAUGGUGAUGAUGGUGAUAAUGGUGAAAAUCUAAUUCUACUUUUGCUCAUUUUAGGGGAUACAUACCUUUCUUGCACUUUGAUACUUGUUGAAGGGAAUGAGAUGCUCUAUAUUUUCUUCUUAUUUUUUUUUCUUUUUUCUUUUUUUUCUUUUUUUCUCAGGUGGGUAUCUUGUACCCCUAAUUCUACUGUCGGACACUUGCCCCUUUUUAUUUCCUCGUAUUCACUCCCUUUUUUUAGAGCACUCACCCUCCUAGAAUAAUGUAGCAAGUGGUAGUAACCAAAAUAUCUCGAGCAUUUAUUUCACGGGGAAUAACAGGGAUAGGAUAAUGUUUUUGGCUAUUCUCUCCUGGAUAGGAGUAGAAUAAUUUUAGGUGAAUCUGGAGAUGGAAAGGAGUGGAUGUAUGUGGAUGCGUAAUUCCGGAGUAGAAGCAGCAUGUAUUAGUGAACGUGCAAGUGAAUCUUGAUUUUAACCACAUGACAAGCUCCUAAGGGUCUACACAGCUUGACCACACUCAAUGCUCAUAAGCAGUAAAAAGUAAAUGUAUGGUUCAUAGUCCAAUAAGCAUGUAUAUAUGGCUGUGGUAGGAUUUUAAACUCUCAUCAUACAGGAACUCAUCAUGUGAUAUUUUAAAGAUUUUCAAAGAUAAAAUUCUCCAGAAUUCUAUCAUCUCUAAGAACAGAUAAACAGCAGCUCAACCUUCCCAUAUCAUAUCCGUUAACGAGUUAGACUUCAGAUCAAGUACUCUUCCCACAAGUUCAGGUUUAGAGCAAAUCUUAAUUAAUAACAGUCAUGCCUAAACUUGAAAGAGAUUUCAAUUUUGACAACUAGUCAUGGCAGAGCAACUAUUCAUCAUUUCCAUGUGAGAGCUUAUCAUGAGGGUUCAAACUUUAUUUAUUUAUUUAUUUAGCAAACUAAGCAAAGAUAUAUAUAUAAGCACAAAAUCUUUAUUUGGGUUUUUAUGAUUAUGCAUCUUUUUAUUAUUUGAGUAAAAUAUAAACGUGAGUGGAACACUUAGCUGGAUGAAUGGGGGUGCUCUCCCCCAAGCUAGAUUUUGACGGAAUUUCUUCUGAUGUAGCUAGCAGGUGGUAGAGGUGUAUUUGAAUGUCGGCAGCACCCUGACAGCGAGUAGGAUGUCCUCCGUCUGCUAGUUGUCACAGAACCGACCAAAUUAUAAGAGUUCAAUUGCAGAAACGAUCGCCAAGCAAUCAAGUUUCCAAACUUGAGCCCAUAUAAUCCCGGUAGUCAAUUGAAAUCACGAAGGACUUCAAACCAACUCGCAACAAACCAAGAUCGUAAUAGUUCAACAUAAACACAACGAAUGUUACAUAGCCAUACAUUGCCGUCGAAGCGGCACCGCAUCGGAGUAUUAAGUUAUUACAACACUUGUUCGAAGUAGCAGAAGCAAAAUAAUUACACACACAUUCCAAAGUUCAGUUCAUAAGUUUGGGUUACUGCCAGAGUCUACACCAUCCUUCCAAAAGCAACAGGUACGAAGUUGUUAGAGAACCGUGCUCAACGGUUAAUCCUCAUCCCCAGCGGGAUGGAGACAGGUCUUGCAGAAACCGUCAUAGAAGAUGUCAUCUGCAACAGGUGGGAAUAAACCCUGAGUACGAGAAUGUACUCAGCUAGACUUACCCGUCUAGUAAAACAUAAAAGACACCAAGGAUCAUGCAAGGCCAAAUAUCAAGUGGAGCUGGUUGACUCUCCUUUUGCCAAAAGCUUAAAUUACGACUAAAUUAAUUCGAGAGCAUCAUAUUUAUUCAUCAUCAGCCUACCACUAGAUUAGCACCUGUACUACAACACAUCACUUGAUUAUUACAAUCAAUAAUAACCAUAUCAAAUUCAUCAUAUGUUCUUCCUGCUAUCCUCAUUAUCAUGAACCAAGUUCAUUAGUGAAUGCUACGUUUGCCGCUGCUCUGUCAAGUUCUCACUAACCGGGAGAGACGGCGAUUCGAAUCGAAUUCCUAUCCAGCUGGAGGGUUAUUCCUAGCACUCACCCAAGCAUCCCCUGCCAGAGAGCCAACGGGUCACCUUUGGUACAACUCAGGAAUCGCGGCUCCGAUCAGCGCCGCACUCCCAGGGCUACCACUCUGCCAGGGAGGUCAGGAAUUUUAACUCACCUGCCUUUGGACUUACGCCAAUGGUCCCCCGCACACCGCACUUCCUCCGGUAGUGCGCACUUUAUACUUGCCGGUCUUCCGGCCUGAGUCAUACUACUCGGCUUCGCGGUCGGAACGAGUUAUCCGGCCAACUAAGUGUUAGGCAUGCGUUCAACAUGACAAGAGGACGUACAACGAUCGGUCCUUAGCUGCCACAGACGGAGUCACUACAAACUUGCAAAACUCCGCCCGGCUUAAGUCAAUUUAAUCAGGUUCCAUCCACGAUAGCACAUAUAGACCAUCGUGAUCUGACAUAACCCUAUAUCGCGCAGGUGACAGGAUAUCACCCGAUUUCUACCGAUUAAAGCAUGGCUAAGCUGCUACUCGAUCCUAACUCUACAACCAGGGUGUGUUGAGUUAUCUGGACAAGGAUAGAGUAGAAUGCAGCAACAGUUUCAUCACAACUCCUAUACGUAAUGCAUCAAUAGAUAGAACAUAUUGAGUGAACUUUCGAAAAUAAAGGGAGACUUAGAAUGCUCCGGGGCUUGCCUUUCACGAACGAUGCCGGCUCGUGAUUCGGACACUCAACUUCUUCUUCGGGCUCCUCGAGUCCGGCUUGCUAGACCUCCACCUCUUGGCUGCCCUCCUGGCCUUCGGGAUUCACUUGCAGCUCGUAGGAGGCUGUCGCGUCCGAUGCACCUAUUGCAUGCUCGAACAAUAAGAAGAUGCACAUGCUAAAGAUGAAUGCUUGAUAACACAAGUAACUCACUGGCCACUCAUUUACGGAGCAAAGUCAUACAAGCUCACAUAAGUAAAUAAGUCAACUCAGCUCAAAACCUAUCAUGAUACUAAAACAGCAAGCAACACAAAACAAGUAUACCCAGUAAAUAAAUCAUAACUAAUGAUAGACAGGUCCAACAAUCAUGAGUGAAGACAUUCUGGAAAGCUUAUGAAAUUGUCUACUACUCAUAUUUAAUCAUCACAGCAAGAUUCAUAAGUUAAACCAGUCAUUUAAACAAAGUUCCAGGUUCUGUCCCAGAAAAACAGAGAGCACCUAUUUCUGGAACCCAACUUGGAACAGCUAUAACUUUUAAACUACUUGGCCAAAUGACCUCAAAUUUAAACUACAGCUAGUUCCACAAGUUUAGAACAACUUUGAUUUAGACAAGUUUCACAGAAAGUCAAGUUAUCAUUAAGCAAAGUUAAUUCCUUUCCUUGCUGUCCAGGACAGCCUUUAACCCUUUAAGUAAUUAUUUAAUGACAUAACCAAAACAUAAACCAUGCCAACCACAUGGCUUAUGAGCACAAACAUAUUACAAGGUUACCAGAACACCAGAUGAAGACCCCCAAACAUUUACUUCACAAGGCAUUUAUUAAUUAAUUCUAGAUAAGAGCAUAAUUACAAGAUACUAGUCAAAGUGCUCAGAAAAAUCUACAAAAAUUACAGGAACACAAGUAUAUCAUCAAAACUUCACCACAAAAAUUUCAGAGUAAUUGCACAUAUCAAAUUAAAGAUAUGUAUUUAACAUGUGCCAAGGUAUUUAUUUCAUAAAUUCAGAAACAUGACUUAUAUGGUGUCAAACAACAGAUUUCAGAUUAUUUACAUCUUAGGAAUACCAUAAACAGGUUUACUACCAAAGUAGAGCACCAGCAUAAGCACCAAUUAUUUUAUAUAAUUUAAUCAAGGAAACAAGCCAAAUUUCAACCAUAAAUUACAUAAGAAAGCUGCAGUGCUCCAAAAAUCAUGAAAUAUUUAUCAAAGCACCCUAAUACCAUACAGAGGCUACCAUAAAAUUUUCAGAGCAAACUAAGCAGUAAAACAAGAGAUAUGCAUUUAUCCAUGAAUAACAAGAUUAAAUCCUUAAUAAAUAAUUUCCCAGAAAACAUGGUUCAUUUUAUAUAUUUAUUAAAAACUAGCCAUCUCAAGGAAUACCACAAAAUUUGUUUCACAAUUUUUGAAUCUAAGAAGCAGGAGAUAUGAUUUUUACAAAAACAGCUCAAACCCUAAUUUAAACAAAGGAGAAGGAGAGACUGACAGAGGGGAUCCGCGAGUCAACGGACCCCACCUGCCAGCGAACCGGAAGCAGAGGCGUGGCUUGACCGCCGGAGAUCUCGUCGACGGCGAGGUCUCGGCGCUGGCCAAGGGCACCAUCGUGCUCUCCACAGCAUUCCGCAUCGAGCGGUACCCAAAACCCUAACUCUUCCGGACUCUAGGCACCUCGCCCUCGCGAAUGGCGGCACGGCGGUGGUGCGCGGCCGACCGCCGGCGUCUCUGAUCGGAGACAGAGCGGAAGAGGAUGUGGACGAGCAUCAGCAUGACCUAGCGGAGCUUUUGGAACAAGAAUGAGAAAGAAUGGUGGGCUACAGAGCCCUGGCCACGACGCCGGUGGCCAUGGUGGAACUCCGGCGAGGCAAGCUCGCGGCGGAGAAGGCAAUGCGGGCUCACCGAGGCUCGGCAGUCGCAGCCAACUUGACGACGGUGGAGAGGAGAGGCUUGCGGAGCACUGGACGGAGUUGCUUGACCGGAGACAAGGAGACACGCGCGCGCGAGCUCGCCGAAGCAACGGCGGCGACGCGGAGACGACGACGCACGCGAGAGAGAGCGAACCGGGAGUGGACUGGCGCUGUCCACGCGACCGGGGGCGCCGUGGCGAGCUGAAGGACGCGUCGAGGACUGACGUGCAGGACCAACGGCGACGUACGGACGCCACGGGUCCAGACACGCGGCAACACCGGCGAGCUCCCCCUGUCUGACGGCGGCUCCAUUCAGUUCCCAAACCGACUGAAACUCAAUUUUUCCCGACGAUUAACUCCUAAACCACUCGAUGAUUUUGCUGGCCAAUUGCUCCAUGCUGGAGAGCUACAUGAGUACUCCAACAUUGCUAACUAGAUCAAAGCUUGAUUCGGCCUAGAAUUCAAACUGGAAGAUGAACAAUAUCCCCUCGAGCAAACUGCAGAGAUUCCAGACUUAGAAAAUUUUCUAAGUGUUGGAAACAGCCCCAAAUCUGCCUUGUGGGCCCCUUUUGAGCUAUUUGUGAUCAUUUUCAUGAGAUGGCCAUAAAACAACUUUUGUUCCUUAUAAAAUUUGCUACAACUUUGCUGUAGAAAGUUUUGACAUGCAAACAUUUUAUGAAACACUUUUUAAAAGCCUAAGCAAAAGAGGUUUCUAGGGCCUACUUUCAUAAGUAUAACUUAAAAGCAUAUUUUGGAGAAGUGACCAACAUGAACAUUGUUCCCAAGGUCAAGUUAAGCAUAGCUAAACUAACUACCAAGGCAUUAAGCACAAACACAAGCAUGGUUCACUCAAACAUAAGCAUAGGAAGACUAUUUAAACAAUUUAAACCACAUUUUUGCAUAAGAUGACAUGGCUCAAGAUAGAUGAUGAUCAUGAUAAGCUUUGAGUAGAUGAUGAUGCUUAUGCUAUGCACAUGAUUAAUGCAACCAUAACACUGGGGUGUUACAGCCCUCCCCCCUUACAAAAAUCUCGUCCCGAGAUUUGAAAGCUUACUGAUUUUCGAAGAAGGUUUUGUAAACUUCUUUCAAAUAAUCCUCCGUCUCCCAAGUAGCAUCUUCCUCCCCAUGGUUGCUCCACAAUACCUUAUAGAGUUUAACCACACGAUUACGCGUCUCCCGUUCCUUGCGAUCAAGAAUCGCCACAGGUUUCUCCUCAUACACCAAGUCUGACUUCAACUUGAUAUCUCGAACUUCCACUCGUUCUUCCGGUACACGAAGGCACUUCUUCAAUUGUGAUACGUGGAAGACAGGGAAAAUAGCUCGAAGCGCAACUGGGAGUUGAACUUUGUACGCCACAUUCCCUUUCUUUUCGAGAAUCCGAUAAGGUCCCACAUAGCGAGGUGCAAGUUUUCGCUUGACUCCGAACCUUUGUACACCCUUCAUCGGAGACACCUUGAUGUACACAUGGUCACCAACUGAAAACUCAAUCGGCUUCCUUCUCUUGUCGGCAUAACUUUUCUGACGAGCUGGAGCAGCUUCCAGAUGUUGCUGGAUAGUACGGACUCUCUGCUCUGCUUUGUUCACGAAAUCGAUGCCAUAAAACCUUCGUUCCCCGGCUUCCACCCAAUUCAACGGGGUUCGACACUUUCGACCGUACAAGGCUUCAAAUGGAGCCAUCUUGAUACUCUCCUGAUAACUGUUUUUGUAGGAGAACUCAGCUAAUGGCAACCACUUAACCCAAGAUCCUUUUGAUCAGAGAGCACAUGCCCUCAACAUGUCUUCGAGGAUUUGGUUCACUCGUUCAGUCUGACCGGCCGUUUGGGGAUGAUAAGCAGAGCUACGGACUAAAUGAGUACCAAUUUGCUCAUGCAGACAUUCCCAAAAUCGAGUAGUGAACUGUGGUCCACGAUCGGAUAUGAUUGUUCGAGGCACACCAUACUGACGAACAAUGUGCUCGAAAUACAACUCCGCAUACUGAUGUGGACGAUAGUCGGUUCGGAAUGGAAUAAAUCGAGCAACCUUGGUCAAACGAUCGACAAUCACCCAGAUGGAGUCGUACCCCUUAACAGAAAUUGGGAGUCCACUGAUGAAAUCCAUGCUGACUUCUUCCCAUUUCCAACCAGGAAUAGACAAGGGUUGAAGCAAACCAGCUUUCAUGUGAACAGCCUUCACACGACAACAAUUGUCACAACGAGCGACAAAAGCAACUAUCUCCUUUUUCAUCUUUGUCCACCAAAACAACGGUUUUAAAUCCUGAUACAUCUUGCUACUACCAGGAUGGAUAGACAAUUUGGAUGAAUGAGCUUCAGAUAAGAUCUGAUUUUGCAGCUCGCGGUCUUUUGGGACCACAAGUCGAUCCUUGAACCAAAGAAUUCCGUUCUCAUCGACCCGGAAAUGCUUGGUUUCUUCUUCCUUCAUUUUCCUCUUUAUAUGGUGGAUGCCUACAUCUGUCUGCUGCAAUUCGAUGACUCGAUUGCGAAUGGUACUUUCCAGAGAAAGCUGGUUGAGCACAAGUGGAUGCAUAAGAUGUGACAACAACGGAUCUUCCACUUGGAUUGAGUGACAGUGCGCUUUCCGACUCAAGGCGUCCGCCACCACGUUUGCCUUGCCCGGAUGGUAGUGCACUUGAAGAUUAUAAUCUUUAAUCAACUCAAGCCACCUUCGCUGUCGCAUGUUCAGUUCAGGUUGAGUGAAGAUAUACUUGAGGCUCUUAUGAUCAGUGUAGAUAUUACACAGAUUACCCAGCAAAUAAUGCCUCUAGAUUUUCAAAGCAUGAACAACUGCUGCCAAUUCUAAGUCAUGGGUAGGGUAAUUGAUCUCAUGCUUUCGAAGUUGGCGUGAGGCAUACGCAAUUACGCGACCUUCCUGCAUCAACACACAGCCUAAACCAAUGCCCGACGCGUCACAAAAGACAUCAAAGGGCUUUUCGAUAUCAGGUUGAGCUAGGACAGGAGCUGAUGUCAGCAAUGUCCUCAACUUGUGGAAUGCCUCUUCACACUCAGGUGUCCACACAAACUUCUCAUCUUUCUGAAGCAGACGAGUCGUAGGCUUGGAUAUUUUGGAGAAUUCCGGAAUGAAUCGACGGUAAUAUCCGGCCAGACCAAGAAAACUCCGAACCUCGUGUACCCAAGUUGGAACUUUCCAAUCCAGCACUUCUUGCACCUUGGCUGGAUCCACCGAUAUGCCUUCUUCAGAUAAGACAUGGCCCAAGAAAGGAACUUUCUUUAGCCAAAACUCGCAUUUGCUAAACUUGGCAUAAAGCUGAUGUUCGCGCAAAGGCGACAACACUACACGCAGAUGCUCUGCAUGCUCCUCUUCAUUGCAGGAAUAUACCAAGAUAUCAUCAAUGAAGACCACCACAAACUUGUCCAAUUCAGGCAUGAACACCGAAUUCAUGAGAUACAUGAAGUGAGCAGGUGCAUUUGUAAGACCGAAGGACAUGACAAGGUACUCAUACAACCCAUACCUUGUCGAGAAAGCUGUCUUAGGUACAUCUUCAGGACGGAUCUUGAUCUGAUGGUACCCAGAUCGCAAAUCAAUCUUGGAGAAUACCUUAGCUUUAGACAACUGAUCAAACAAGAUAUCAAUGCGAGGAAGAGGGUAUUUGUUCUUGAUAGUCACCGCAUUUAGGGGACGAUAGUCCACACACAUGCGCAAAGAUUGAUCCUUCUUCUUCACAAAGAUAGCCGAACAACCCCAAGGAGAAGAACUAGGACGAAUAAGGCCCUUCUUCAACAACUCAUUGAGUUGGGUCUUAAGCUCAACUAAUUCAUUGGGUGGCAUUCUAUAAGGUCUUCUAGAGAUAGGAGCGGUACCUAGAAUCAAUUCAAUCUUAAACUCCACAUCCCGAUCCGGAGGAAGCCCGGGAAGAUCAUCAGGAAAAACAUCCGGAAACUCACACACCACCGGAAUAUCCUGAAUAGCCUUAGAUGUAACUGCAUUCACAGUGCUACGGAUUUGAAUAUCACGAGGGAGUUGCACUAGAAAUGCCUCCUUGGUAUUUGGGUCUUUCAACAUCACUACACGAGUGGUGGUGUCGAUAAGAACUCCAUUGCCACUCAUCCACUUCAUCCCCAGAAUUACAUCUAUUCCCACACCAGGUAGAACAACCAAAUCAGCAAGAAACUGACGGCCUCCUAUUUCCAGAGUUGCCCCCAAAACCACUUGAUUGGUAGAAAUAUCAUUCCCCGCAGCACAAAUACAGUAACUGCCCUUAUCAAGUGUAAUGGCCUUGAUGCUAUGCUUAGACACAAAUUCAGAACUCACAAAGGAAUGCGAUGCUCUAGAAUCAAAAAGCACAAGUGCAUCAUGUUGAUUGACCAGAAACUUACCAGCCGUGACUACCUCACCAGCAGGGAUUGCUUCCACAGUUGUGUAAUGAACACGCCCCUGACGGACGUUCCCCUGGUUGCCCUUCUUUGGCGGGUAAGGACAGUUGCUCUGCCAAUGCCCGGUCUGAUUGCAGUUCCAGCACGGACGGUUGGCAGGUGGAGUCUUGGCAUAGUUGGGACCCGUGUUGCCCCUAGGAAGAGCAAUAGAGUACCCCUUGCGAAAACCCGUCUUUGCCUGAUUCUUCUUCACCGGAGGGCGGUAUCGCUGGUUGGGGGUUGUAGCACGGAAUGGGGGCUUAGUUGCCACUGGAGCCUUGGACUGAGAUGACCCGGCACUGGCCUCAAAGGCCCUCUUGCGAGUCUUGGUCGCAGUGUACACAGUGUUAUAGUUCUCUUGAGUGAGAGCAUCACUGACAAACUCAUUGAAAGUUGCACACUUAGUGCGGCCCAUAGUCUUCAGCAAUUUGAGGCCCAAACCCCGCUUGAAACUAGCAAUCUUUUUCGUCUCCAUGUUCACAAACUCAGGAGCAUACCUAGACAAAUGAUUGAAAGCAUGCAAAUACUCCUUCAGAGUCUUGUUGCCCUGAGUCAACUGCAUAAACUCGGUAUGCUUCAUCUCCAUAACACCAGGAGGAAUGAAAUGCCCCUUGAAAGCUUCACGGAAAAGAUUCCAGUCAAUCACUGUGUUGGCUGGAAGAGCUUCCCGAUACUGAUUCCACCAGAUGCCUGCCGGACCUUGCAGUUGGUGAGCGGCAUACUCUGCCUUCAGACCUUCAGUCAACCGAAGUAAGCGGAACUUUUGUUCCACCGUGUUCAGCCACUCUUCAGCUUGAAGGGGUUCUUCAGCUUCUCUGAAAGGUGGGGGCUUUGUGUCCAUGAAAUCCUUGAAGCUACUGUACUGGUUAGGAGCUGGCCCUUCCUGUGCAUUACGACCACCCUGAUUUGCCAUCCGAUUGAUGGUCUCAGUGAGCAUCCUCUGAUUUUCCACCAUCAUUUGCAUCAGUUCAUCUGGAUUUGGUGGUGGAGGAGGAGGGGGUGGAUUCAUGUUUGCACGCUGUUCCGCACCCCGGGUACCACGAGACAUCUGUAAAGACACAGUCAGUGAGCAUUGAUGAUGACAAGAUUUGCCGCAGAAGAACUUAUAUUCAUACCUGAAAGUAUUCGAGAGAAUAGCUUUACAGAAAGGAAAAAUAAUUCAAUUCCACAAAACAACAUCACCAAUCUAACACACGACAUAGAUAUCCACAAUACGCACCACAACGGAAAACAUCGGCAUAACAUAACAAUCAUAUUAAGACUGCACAUUGGGUCCAUAAAGUUAUUACACCAUCACAGUACAUGCCAUGAGUCAAGGUCAAAGUUUCGGAUUACAACAUGGUUACAAAAGCACCACGGCUGACUGGCACACUACAAAAGAUCCUCACAUAACACUACCCACUACUCCUACACUCCAGGCUCGUCGUCCGAGUCAGCGUCGAAGAUCGCCUCUCCAUCCUCGUCGUGAACCGGGAGUGGACUGGCGCUGUCCAUGCGACCGGGGGCGCCGUGGCGAGCUGAAGGACGCGUCGAGGACUGACGUGCGGGACCAACGGCGACGUACGGACGCCACGGGUCCAGACACGUGGCAACACCGGCGAGCUCCCCCUGUCUGACGGCGGCUCCAUUCAGUUCCCAAACCGACUUAAGGUUUUAUCUGACAGAAUUCCAUGAGUUUUGGUGUUUGUCUAUUUCUGCAGGGGGUUAUCAGGAAAUAUGGAAGAAAGGCCCACACGUCGGGUUUACAUAGAGAUAUUAACGUGCCGCGCAAUUUUCUAUCAUCUAGAAGACUCCAGAAGCCACGGGACCGAAGCGGAGGCCGAGAGGGCUCAGGCACAGGGCGCCCGCCCUAGUCUCUUGGGCGCCCGCCCACUUCCAGAGACCAAUUCGGUCACGUUUCGCGGACAACGCUCCACCGACCUAAAGGAUCAAGGAAAACCGUGCGAUCAAUGUCGGUUUGAUCCGACGGCCCAGAUUCACUUGAAGGGACUAUAAAACCAGACCCCCUGGCCCCUGGAGAUCAUACCUCUUCUACAGAAUCAAAGUUAGGGUUUCAAUUCUUCAUCCAAGUAGAGAGGAUCCCUCUAGUUCUUCUAGUUCUACCUCUAGUUCAUCUAGAUCUAGUUCUAGUUCAUCUAGUUCUAGUUCUAGUUCUUCUAGUUCUAGUUCUAGUUAGUUCUAGUUGUAAUCUAGAAAAUAGGGAGAGAGAAGAGGAGAGCGGAGGAGGAGCCAGAUCUGUCGGAUCUUCCUCAACAUUAUACUUUUGCAGCAUCUGGUUCGUUC